rnacentral:lncRNA from 1 species
AAAGAAAAAGUUCUUUUAUGAUUUAAUACAUUACUUCUGGGAUGACCCACACCUUUAUAAAGAAGGAGUAGGUGGUGUUAUUAGACGUUGUGUACCUGAGCAUGAACAGGAACAGAUCCUAUGCAAGUGUCACUCUGAAUCGUAUGGAGGACACCACGCUGGAGAUAGAACUGCACAUAAGGUAUUGCAAUCCGGUUUUUAUUGGCCUACUCUCUUCAAAGAUGCUCGUAAGUUUGUCUUGUCUUGUGAUGAAUGUCAAAGAAUUGGUAAUAUUAGUAGACGUCAAGAAAUGCCUAUGAAUUAUUCUCUUGUUAUUGAACCAUUUGAUGUUUGGGGCUUUGAUUAUAUGGAACCUUUUCCUGCCUCUAAUGGUUACACACAUAUUUUAGUUGAUGUUGAUUAUGUUACUAAGUGGGUAGAAGCUAUUCCAACUAGUAGUGAUGAUCAUAAUACUUCUAUUAAAAUGCUUAAAGAAGUUAUUUUUCCGAGGUUUGGAGUCCCUAGAUAUCUUAUGACUGAUGGUGGUUCACAUUUUAUUCAUGGUGCUUUCCGUAAGAUGCUUGCUAAGUAUGAUGUUAAUCAUAGAAUCACAUCUCCUUAUCACCCACAGUCUAGUGGUCAAGUAGAGUUGAGCAAUAGAGAGCUCAAAUUAAUUUUGCAAAAGACUGUCAAUAGAUCUAGAAAGAACUGGUCCAAAAAACUUGAUGAUGCAUUAUGGGCCUAUAGAACUGCAUAUAAAAAUCCUAUGGGUAUGUCUCCGUAUAAGAUGGUUUAUGGAAAAGCAUGUCACUUACCUCUUGAACUUGAACAUAAAGCAUAUUGGGCUAUUAAAGAGCUCAACUAUGACUUCAAACUUGCUGGUGAGAAGAGGUUAUUUGAUAUUAGCUCACUUGAUGAAUGGAGAACCCAAGCCUAUGAGAAUGCCAAGCUGUUCAAAGAAAAAGUCAAACGCUGGCAUGACAAAAGGGUACAAAAGCGUGAGUUAAUGUAGGUGAUUAUGUGUUACUUUUCAACUCUCGUUUAAGAUUUUUUGCAGGAAAACUUCUCUCUAAAUGGGAAGGUCCUUACGUUAUCGCGGAGGUCUAUCGUUUUGGUGCCAUAAAAAUCAACAACUUCAAAGGCACGGGUCCGAGGGUGGUGAACGGUCAAAGAAUCAAACAUUAUAUCUCAGGUAAUCCAAUCAAUGUUGAAACUAAUAUUAUUGAGACUGUAACCCCGGAGGAAUACAUAAGGGACACUUUCUAGAAUGUUUCAGACUCCGAAAAGGAAUAGGUAUGUGGUACGGUAAGUAAACCAACUCCAAAACAGUUCUAAUGGAAAUUUUUCUCCGUUUUGGAAUAUUUAAGAAUUUUGGAAGAAAGAAGUAAUCCAGGAAGGACACGAGGCCUCCACGAGGGUGGAGGGCGCGCCAACCCUUACUGAGCGCGCCCCCUGUUUCGUGGGCACCUCGUGUGCCUCUCGGACUCCAUUUUCUUGCAUGUUACGUAUUUUAGUCGGUAAAAAUUCAUUACAUAAUCUCCCAAAGGUUUUGACCACCGUAUCACGCAAAUAUCCUAUGUUUUCGUUUCGAGCUGUUUUUCUGACAGAUCUAGAGCACCAUGACGUCUCCAAGCGCUCCCAAGGACAAGUUUUUCGAGAGGGUUAUUAACCCCUAUCUCACGGAGGUGCUGCAACACCCUCAAACCAUUGAGAUGCGUGAGGGGGUGCUGCACAUCCGUGAUGUGGAGGGACCAAGGCGUACCGGAAGUGUGGAGACAAAGCUCGAAGCCAUGGAGCAACAAGUUUUCAAGUGCCAAGGGAUGGUGGAGCGUGGACUCAACGCCAACCAGAUGAUGAUCACGGAGUUCACCAACAACCACAAGCUAGAUGCCAAGAUCAUUGGGGAGACCAUCUUCAAGCUUCAAGAGAAAAUCGAGCACCUCCAAGCCCAGAUCUAUGACCUGCAAAACCAAAACUGUGAGUAUGAAUAUAGAUUCAAGAGGAUGAGUUUGGCUGCAGAUUUGAGGAUCCUAGAGACUCGAUCAUCCUUCUAUGAUGGUGAUCCUAUGCCUUGGAAGAUGGACAACAAGCCUACAUCAUCAACAACUCCUACUUCACCACCUCUAAGGACAUAAUUACAUGGGUAUGGGCACUCCCCUUGGCAACUUCCAAGCUUGGGGGAGGUACCCCGGUAUCGUAUCACCAUCACACUCCUAUCUUUAUCAUUUUAGUUAGUUCGAUCCUUUUUAGUAAUAUCUUGAUCUAGUAGAUUGAAGUUUUGGUAUCAAGUAGUUUUGAGUUUUGCUUUGUGAUCUCUUUAUGUAAUCGAGUUCGUGAGCUAUCUAUAAUAAAGAUUAGUGUUGAGUCAAGGGCUUUAAUAUCUUGUUAUGAUCUUGAGAAACUAUAAAGAAUAAAAAGAAUAAUAGGGUUCAUAUUGAUCUUGUGGAUAGUAAUGACUUCACACAUAAAAAGUAUGAGGCAUAAAAGUUGUUGAGAGUUGACAAACGUAGUUUUGGUCAUCGUUGCAUUUAAUAGGAAGUAAUAAGGAAAGAGAGGUUUUCACAUAUAAAUAUACUAUCUUGGACAUCUUUUAUGAUUGUGAGCACUCAUUAAGUAUGACAUGCUAAAAGAGUUGAUGUUGGACAAGGAAGAUAACGUAAUGGUUUAUGUUUUCUCACAUCUCAGUUAAAGUAUAUUGUCAUUGAUCUUCCCAACAUGUUGAGCUUGCCUUUUCCCCUCAUGCUAGCCAAAAUUCCUUGCACCAAGUAGAGAUACUACUUGUGCUUCCAAAUAUCCUUAAACCAGUUUUGCCAUGAGAGUCCACAAUACCUACAUUUGGAUUGAGUAAGAUCCUUCAAGUAAGUUGUCAUGUUGCAAGCAAUAAAAAUUGCUCUCUAAAUAUGUAUGACUUAUUAGUGCGGAGAAAAUAAGCUUUAUACGAUCGUGUGAUAUGGAAGUAAUAAAAGUGACGGACUGCAUAAUAAAGGUUCAUAUCACAAGUGGCAAUAUAAACUGACGUUCUUUUGCAUUAAGAUUUUGUGCAUCCAACCCUAAAAGCACAUGACAACCUCUGCUUCCCUCUGCGAAGGGCCUAUCUUUUACUUUAUGUUUUUUACUUUAUACUUGAGUCAAGGUGAUAUUCACCUUUCCCUUUUUCAUUUUAUCCUUGGGCAAGCUCCUCGUGUUUGAAAGAUCCUGAUAUAUAUAUCCAAUUGGAUGUAAGUUAGCACGAAUUAUUAUUGUUGACAUCACCCAAAGGUGAAUACGUUGGGAGGCAACACAAUAAGCCCCUAUCUUUCUUAGUGUCCGACUGAAACUCCAUAACCACAAGUAUUGCGUGAGUGUUAGAAAUUGCAGAAGACUAUAUGAUAGUUGAGUAUGUGGACUUGCUGAAAAACUCUAUUCUUGACUAUUUUUGGUGUUAUAAUAAAUUGCAAUUGCUUCAAUGACUGAGAUUAUAGUUUGUUAGUUCCCAAUGAAGUUUCUGAACCAUACUUGACAUUGUGAAUUGAUUGUUACUUGAGCAUAAGAAACCAUAUGACAAAAAUCUAUAUAUGUUGUUGUUAUAAGAAUGAUCAGUAUGCCCUCAUGUCCGUAUUUUAUUUUUAUCGACACCUCUAUCUCUAAACAUGUGGACAUAUUUUUCCAUUUUGGCUUCCGCUUGAGGACAAGCAAGGUCUAAGCUUGGGGGAGUUGAUACGUCCAUUUUGCAUCAUGCUUUUAUGUCAAUAUUUAUUGCAUUAUGGGCUGUUAUUACACAUUAUGUCUCAAUACUUAUGGCUAUUCUCUCUUAUUUUACAAGGUUUAUCAUGAAGAGGGGGAAUGUCGGCAGCUGUAAUUCUGGCUGGAAAAGGAGCAAAUAUUGGAAACCUAUUCUGCACAGCUCCAAAAAUCCUGAAACUCCACCAAAGUUAUUUUUGGAAUUAAUAAGAAUUAUUGAGCGAAGAAAACACCAGAGGGGGACCACACCCUGGCCAAGAGGGUGGGGGGCACGCCCACCCCUACUGGGCGCGCCCCCUGUCUCCUGGGCCCCCUGGUGGCCCUCCGGUGCCCAUCUUCUGCUAUAUGAAGGCUUUUACCCUGAAAAAAUAAAUCAUAAGCAAGCUUACGGGACGAAACUCCUCCGCCACAAGGUGGAACCUUGGCGGAACCAAUCUAGGGCUCCGGCGGAGCUGUUCUGCCGGGGAAACUUCCCUCCGGGAGGGGGAAAUCAUCACCAUCGUCAUCACCAACGGUCCUCUCAUUGGGAGGGGUUCAAUCUCCAUCAACACCUUCACCAGCACCAUCUCCUCUCAAAACCCUAGUUCAUAUCUUGUAUCCAAUCUUGUAUCAAAACCACAAAUUGGUACCUGUGGGUUGCUAGUAGUGUUGAUUACUCCUUGUAGUUGAUGCUAAUUGGUUUACUUGGUGGAAGAUCAUAUGUUCAUAUCCUUAAUGCAUAUUAAUACUCCUCUGAUUAUGAACAUGAAUAUGCUUUGUGAGUAGUUACAUUUGUUCAUGAGGACAUGGGUGAAAUCUUGCUAUUAGUAGACAUGUAAAUUUGGUAUUCGUUCGAUAUUUCGAUGAGAUGUAUGUUGUCUCUCCUCUAGUGGUGUUAUGUGAACGUCGACUACAUGACACUUCACCAUUAUUUGGGCCUAGAGGAAGGCAUUGGGAAGUAAUAAGUAGAUGAUGGGUUGCUAGAGUGACAGAAGCUUAAACCCUAGUUUAUGUGUUGCUUCGUAGGGGGCUGAUUUGGAUCCAUAUGUCUAAUGAUGUGGUUAGGUUUACCUUAAUACUUCUUUUGUAGUUGCGGAUGCUUGCAAUAGGGGUUAAUCAUAAGUGGGAUGUUUGUCCAAGUAAGGGCAGUACCCAAGCACCGGUCCACCCACAUAUCAAAUUAUCAAAGUACCGAACGUGAAUCAUAUGAGCGUGAUGAAAACUAGCUUGAUGAUAAUUCCCAUGUGUCCUCGGGAGUGCUUUUCUCAUUAUAAGAAAUUGUCCAGGCUUGUCCUUUGCUACAAAAUGGAUUGGGCCACCUUGCUGCACUUUAUUUACUUUCAUUGCUUGUUACCCGUUACAAAUUAUCUUAUCACAAAACUAUCUGUUACCUACAAUUUCAGUGCUUGCAGAGAAAACCUUACUGAAAACCGCUUGUCAUUUCCUUAUGCUCCUCGUUGGGUUCGACACUCUUACUUAUCGAAAGGACUACGAUAGAUCCCCUAUACUUGUGGGUCAUCACUGCUGAUCAGAAAAGGUCUUGUGGGUAUGCUCCACAAAUUCAGGUGCUCGUCAACUCAAAGAUGGGCACAAGCACUUACUUGUUGGACAAGGAGCACUUACCUCUCAAGCCAGAUUUUGAAGACAACACAAUUGUCAUGGAUGAGAAUGAUCCUUCAUCAGUGCAAGCACAUGAGAACAGAGCAAAGGCAAGGGCAGAUAAGGCUGCAAAGAUGCCAAGUGCUGAAGAGGCAUCUCAAGUGUUCUUGAAGAGCAAACAAGAUCAACUUGGAUUUCCAAUCCAAUCUACUUUGAGGAUUGAGAAGGGCUUGGCCAUCCUGACUCAGAAUCAGGAGAGUUUGGAGAGAAUCAUUGAACAAAAAUUCUAUGAUCUUGAUCUGAAAGUCACUAAGAUACAGACAAUAGUUGAGCAACUCAAGGAGGAAGUAGAGGAGAAGAAAGGAAAGGCAACUACAGAAGCUUUUCAGUAUGUGCCAAGAGGUCAGAGGUCAGCUGCAGUGCCAGUACCUGAUACUAGAGCAACUUCAUUUGCACCAGCAGCCAUAGCUUUAGUGCCACCUCCAGCAGCCACUCCAGCAGCUCCAUCUACAUCAAUUGAAUCCUUCGUUCUUAGAGUCAUUGCUACACCACCUCAUAGAGACCAAGCCUGAGAGACGCAUAGUACUAUGCAUAUUUGAACUUUUUGGUAACUUGUUGCCAAAAGGGGAGAAAUAUGUAUAGAUCAUAGCCUUAGAGAGAGAGUGUUACUUUUUGUCUCUCUUGCAUUUCAUUUGGUUGAACUUUAUUGUAUGCUUGUUUGCUACAUUAUGUCCUUGUGUGAGAUACUUGAAUGAUCAUGUGUUUGAUCAUAGCUACUUUAAUGUGUGUUUGGAUGAUAUUACCUCUUAUAUCCCUAUAUGAUCAUUCACUUUGCUUGGUGAUGAGUGCAUGCUUUUAAUUGUUAUCAUUUUAAGCGCUCCACCAAGAUGUAUGUGACAUGGAAGAGUAACCCAUGAUACUAAUCGAUUGUGCAUUUGCAUUCAAAAGCAAAUCUUAAAUAAUGCACAAAUUUAGGGGGAGCUCUUGCUUAUCACAUACUUCUCAAAGCGACAAUGUAUUUCAAUCUUAUUAUCAUUUGUCAAAGCUUUGAUCUAUAUGUUGUCAUCAAUUACCAAAAAGGGGGGAGAUUGAAAGUGCAACUAUCCCUGGGUGGUUUUGGUAAUGAUUAACAACAUAUAGCUCAUUGAACUAAUGUUAUUUCAAGAUGAAUAUUUCAGGAAAGUUCAAUGUUUGGCAUGGCAUGGAUUAGGAAUGUGGACCCCUAAAAAUGCUAAGGACAAAGGAUUGGCUCAAGCUCUAAAAGAUCAAGACUCUACAUUUUACUUUUAGUGAUCCAAGAUCACAUUGAGUCUAUAGGAAAGUCCAAUACUAUUAAAAGGGGAUGAGGUGUUGAUUAAUGGCUUGCUUGCUCAAAAUGCUUAGUGAUAUGCUCUAAAGAACCCUCAACCACUUUCUCAUAUCCACAUAUGUCCCAAACCAAAAGUCAAACUCGGCCCCACCGAUUUGAUCUAUCCGGCGCCACCGAGUUCACUUAACAUAGCCACUGCCAGAAACCCUAGUCACUUCGAUCUCACCGAUAGGGAUCUCGAUCUCAUCGAGAUGGGAUUGCAAACUCUCUGUUUCCCUUUGUAACGUUUCGGUCCAACCGAGAUGAGCGAUCGGUCCCACCGAGUUUGCAAUGCAAACUCCCUGUUUCCCUUUUGUAACAUUUUGGUUCCACCGAGAUGAGCGAAUCGGUCCCACUGAGUUUGUCUAACCAACUCUAUGGUUAGCUUAUUACCAAAGUCGGUCCCACUGAGUUUGUGUAAUCAGUCUCACCGAGAUUAUGUUAUGCCCUAACCCUAAUGAAAUCGGUCCCACCGAGUUGACAUGUUGGUCCCAUCGAAAUUCCUAACGGUCAAAUUAUGAACUAAAUCGGUCUAACCGAGUUUUAUGAUUCAGUCCCAUCGAGUUUGGUAAAUUGUGUGUAAUGGUUAGAUUUUGUGUGGAGGCUGUAUAUACCCCUCCACCCUCUCCUCAUUCGUGGGGAAAAGCCAUCAGAACAUGCCUACACUUCCAGCAUUCAUUUCCUGAGAGAGAACCACCUACUCAUGUGUUGAGGUCAAGAUAUUCCAAUCCUACCAUAUGAAUCUUGAUCUCUAGCCUUCGCCAAGUUGCUUUCCACUCAGAUCAUCUUUCCACCAAAUCCAAUCCUAUGAGAGAGAGUUGAGUGUUGGGGAGACUAUCAUUUGAAGCACAAGAGCAAGGAGUUCAUCAACAACACACCAUCUAUUACCUUUUGGAGAGUGGUGUCUCCUAGAUUGGUUAGGUGUCACUUGGGAGCCUCUGUCAAGAUUGUGGAGUUGAACCAAGGAGUUUGUACGGGCAAGGAGAUCGCCUACUUCGUGAAGAUCUACCCUGGUGAGGCAAGUCCUUCGUGGGCAAUGGCCAUGGUGGGAUAGACAAGGUUGCUUAUGCGUGGACCCUUCGUGGGUGGAGCCCUCCAUGCACUCACGCAGCCGUUACCCUUCGUGGGUUUAAGUCCCCAUCAACGUGGAUGUACGAUAGCACCACCUAUCGGAACCAUGCCAAAAAUCUCCGUGUCAACAUUGCGUUUGCUCCCUCCAACCUCCUCCCUUUACCUUCAUAUGCAAUGAUUUACAUUUCGCUGCUAUACUCUUAGAAUUGCAUGUGUAGGUUGAUUGCUUGACUUGUGCUAAGUUGCUAAAAUCUGCCAAGAACUAAAAUUGGGAAAAAGCUAGAUUUUUAUUUGGUCAAGUAGUCUAAUCACCCCCCCUCUAGACAUACUUUCGAUCCUACAGUCACGCAAGAUGGUGUCUUGGGUGACAAACCCAAAUUGUACGUUGAAGCUAUCUUCUGCGACUGCCAAAAAAUGUCACUAGAAUUUCCACCAUAUACGACCUGCCCGUCCCUCAUCGCAAACAUUUCAGGUUGAACACUCUAUGCAAAGGAGAGAUAUGGUUCCUUCGCCAGUAAGCCAAGGGAAAAUCUGGAGCACAUGAUUUGUACAUCUCUUCAUCGCCAAUGAUUUUUUAUGAUGACCUGUGUGCAACCACGUACAGAUAAUUUGGUAAGAUUUACAUCUGUCUUAUUGGGUAUAUUGCCAUUUGUCAAAUUGGAAAUAGUGGCAUUUGUCGAUCUAGUAACAUUGCCAUUUGUCAACUUUGUAACACUACCAUUUGUGAAAUUUUGCACCUAAAAAUCACUAGCACUGUCUAAUUUUGCAACUAAAAUUCAGUAAGCAUAUAUUUCAUUCAUAGAUUAAGCAGUCGUUCUUUAUAUAAAUAGUUCAACUUGACAGCUAAACCGAACAAACUUUUCCCCAAUUGUUGCCAACCACGUACUGAAAUAGCUAGUUCAACUAUAUAUACUAGCUAAUUUUAAGUACGUAGUACAGUUCAAGCAUAUCUAUAGUCAGAUAAACUGAACAAAAUAGCCCUAAAUACUACUACUACUAUGGAGGGGUUUUGAACUACUUCUAGCAGCCUCUCCUGUGCCAAGCGCCCUCAGUAAGAGGCAGAGGAGGAGGAGCCUACCGACGAGCUCGAGAAGUGGAAUCCGGCGCCUGCCAUUGCUGCGGCUAUAGCAACGCCCAACUCGAACGCCCUCCACUCCAGACGAUCCCUCUCGAAGCAGUGGGACUCCUCCUAGAUCCCCGCAUUCCACACCAUUGCGGCGGUUUCUGCUACGGCCAUGGCGGCAGUGAGACUCUUUGCAUGCUCAACUAAGCGCUCUCCUCCCGCAAGAAUUUGAUGUAGCACGCAAGGUAGCUGACGGACAUGUGGGCCUCCACCUCCUACCUUCGGUCCAUGAUGGUGAAGCGAGUAAUGACCCCGGUGGUCAAAGAUGGGGUGGUGGACACGAGGACCACCUCCCGCCUUCAAGUCGCGGUGGCGGAGUGAGUGUUGGCCACGGCGGCCGACGGUGGUGUGGUGGUCACGACGGCCACCUCCCGCCUUCAGGUCGCGGUGGCGGAGCGAGUGUUGGCCACGGCGGCCGGCGGUGGUGUGGCGGUCACGACGGCCACCUCCCGCCUUCGAGCCGCGAUGGCGGAGUGGGUGAUGGCCCUGGUGGCCGAUGGUGGUGUGGCGGACACGACGGCCGACGGUGGGGUGGCGGCAACAGCGGCUGGCAACAGUUGCCGUCGGGCAGCGACGGUGGAGCGUGUGGUGGGUGUUGUGCGCACACCCAACAGGGACGCCAUGCAUAGUACACGUCACCAGGGACUGCGCACCGCCACGGUGUUGCCUCCCAGCUAGAGCUCUCCUCUGAUAAUUGCAGAGUAGUUGAGCGACUAUGGUGGACCAAUGCAAUUCGUGAUUGUGGGAGAAGCAGAUGAGAUAAGCUACGGGGAGGGAGGGAAAAUGUAAUGUGGACUCGCUUGUCGUGAGGGUUUAUAUAGCAGGCCAGUAGGCAUUGGGGUUUUGAGGGAUUUCACCGAGUCGAGCGGGAAGCUUGCGCGGUUGCGUGCGGGAACCUCCGCGCUUACACAGGAAUGGGCUCACCGACGCUUCAUUGGCGCCUCUUCAAGCCAAUGUUUGGCCAAAAGAACGCAUGUGUGGUGCUGAAGCUUGCGCUCGAAGCCUUCUGUGGUAGCACAGUGACAAGACAUACGAGAGGAGGACGAAAUGACACGUACACAUACGGUUAAUAAAAAUGUUUGCAAUUUAAUUACGUAGCAGACGGCAGCUCUCUACACAGCGUCGCGAACGAUUGUUCACCCACUGUGUGAUGUGGAACGCGACAUAGUUUCACAUCUUGUCGCUGGCUCGCAACUUCCGACCGGCUUGUAGACGGCCAUUCCCUGCAUGUUCAACUGCUCUAUGCGUGUGGUUGCUCAUGGUUUAGGCGGUCGUGGCGCGCUCUGCUCGUGUGCCACCGCGCGCGCUCUGCUAGCGUCCCUACGCAUGCUCUGCAUGCAUUCCUCCACGCGCGCUACCAGCAUUUGGGGCUUGUGCACAAUCACGUACGUUCGGCGUGCCAUUAUGCAUGCGGUUGUGCCACACGCGGCGCCACGAUGCAGUUACCCACUAAAAAAACCGGCAUGCGGAUGUGCUGAGAAUCCAGGCUGCCUGGCCCCCAUUUAUUCUCAAGGCCAUGUACCUUAAUCUCUCGCACCCCAUGACACAAUAGGCACACCCACGAUGACACAUAUAGAGAGGAUAUCCAACAGCUCCAAUGGUGAUCCCAGUGGCCGACGACGAUGGGUAGCAGUUCAUUAUGCCUCACAUAGUGGACACUCAUGUGAGGGGGGAGGACCUCUCGGUGAUGUACACGACGAGCGGGUCUCAGUGAAGAGCUCUAUCCACACUAUGGAGCAAUUGCUUGCUAAGGAAAAGUACCAAGUGGUCGGCUUCGACAUCGAGUUCACUGGUGGUCAUGCCGAGUAUGAUCAGAAGGUUGUCACCGCCCAGUUGUGUGUGCGCUAUCACGUUCUCGUCUACCACUACCACCUAGCCUCAAGGCCUUGCAAGCGUUUUGUCGGGUUUAUCAAUAGCCUCGACUACAGUAUUGCUACGGUGGACACCAACAAUGAUCUAAAAGCACUCGAGAUUUCGGGCUUGGCCUGCCAGAAGUUUGUCGGUAUCAGUGGUCACUACACGGUCUGGGGAAGCACAAAGAACAAGCAGGACUCCCUAGUUGACCUCGCCUCAGCCAUCAUCACCCCCUUCUACAUGAAGAUGAAGGGUGAGAGCAAGAAGGACAAGAUCGCCUGGCACAGUGCCUGGGAGCAGAGACUGGAUGAAGAACAUGUCAAGUACAUGGCCAAGGACGCGUACACAAGCUACAAGAUGUACAUUCGAAUCAUUGACAUGAGGAAGUGCCUUCGUCCUAACCCAGGCGAGGGAUCGAGCCACGGAGCAGUGGCAGCAGCAUCACAAGAAUUUGAUGAUUAGAUGAUCAUCUCUCUUAGUUUAGAAUGCAUGUAAUUGUUUAUUAUUGGUCUCCCCACACAUUUAUGAUUACUCACAUGUUUGCCGCAUAUCACACACAUCUUAUUAAGCUGAAUCGUUUGUGUUUGUUUUGGCUCAUCACAUAGAGUUCAUCCAAGUGAACUGUAUGUCAUCUACCACACACACCUUGAUCUGGCUGAGUGUUUUUAUUGUGUUGGAUAAUAGCAAACUGUUCAUCCGAAUGAACUGUAUGUCGUAUAUCGCACACACCUUGAUCUGGAUGACCCUUGUAUGAUAAAGGAGCUUGAAAGAAGGGUAGCUUGUUUGAUUUGGAAACACAAAGGUGAAAUCUAGCUUCCUUUUUGGGGAAAACAAAAAACUGCACUAUCUUGCUGCAAUCACCAACAUGCACUACAAAAAAAUACACUUUUGUGAUGAUACGUGUUUGUCAUAGUAGGUCGCAUUUUUUGUCAUGCAUGUACAUCCAUGAAAAAUUUAUGACAGAAUCAAGAUAGUCAUACAUGUGCUGUCGUAGAAGUGUUCCAUGACAUUAGCAAAAUUAUCAUCACAGAAGUGUCCACUUCCAUGACAAUAAAUCGCGCGUCACAGAAGUGCUUUCGUCAAGGGUGACCGACACGUGGCAUCCACCAUAAUGGAACGCCGUUAAGCUAUCGGGUUGGGUUUUGGAUCUGAUAACCCGUUAACAGCCCCGACCAAUGGGGGUUUUCCAUGUGUACAAUCAUCAUUGGCUGGAGGAGACACGUGUCAGGUCCGCGCUGGCACAGGUGUCACUCAUCCAAUGGGUGAGACGCGCCUAUGAUAUGUUGACACAUGGACCGGCCCAUCAAGUUUAAAUGGGCCGGCCCAACUAAAGGCCCACAAGAUUUUGUUGACCAUAAUGGGCUGGCCCAGCUAAAGGCCCACGGGAUUUUGUAGACCAUAAUGGGCCGGCCCAGCUAAAGGCCCACAAGAUUUUGUAGGACAUAAUGGGCCGGCCCAGGUAAAGGCCCACAAGAUUUUUGUGUGCCAUUAUGCGCCGGCCCAGGUAAAGGCCCACAAGAUUCUCGCGGAUCAUAAUGGGUCGGCCCAGCUAAAGGCCCACGAGAUUUCACCGACAUUAAUGGGCCGGCCCAACUGUAGGCCCACAAGAUUUUGAGGACCCUAGUAGGCCGACCCAUUAACUGGCUGCCAUGUUUUGGGCCAAAUGCCGACCCAUAUUUGAUCCGGUCCAUUAAUGGCCUACCACGUUCCGGGCCUAAUAGUGGCCCAUAUGAGAUCCGGCCCGUUAAAAGCCUACCAUGUUCUGGGCCAAAUUACGGCCCAGAUCAGGUCCGGACCUUUAAGAGGCUUUGGGCUCAAUUAUGGCCCAUAUGAGAUUCGGCCCGUCAACUGGACACUAUGCUUUUGGGACCACUUGCUAAAGGCCCACUUAGUAAUUCGGCCUCAUAUUAGUUUUGGCCUGUUAAGGGCCCGUUUAACAUUUCGGCUCUAUAUUAAUUUCGGCUUGUUAAAAGCCUGUCAUAUAGUUGGGCCUAACUACGGCCCGAUUUGCAUCCGGCCUGCUCGCAGCUGAUAUCUGAUUGGGCCAAACAAGGACCGAGACAAUUUUGGCCUGUUAAAAGCCUGUGAUUUGAUUUGCACAAUCUUGGGUCAGGGUUCAUUUCGGGCUGCUGCCGGCCCGUUAGCUGUUCGGCACGUUUCAGGCCCAACCUACAUCGUGAUUGCAUGACGACCCGAUUAUGUACCGUAAUUUUACGGUUUGGCCAGUUUACUAUGAAGAUAGGAUAUAUAUAUAUAGUAAAAUAACUGCAACAUCGUGAAUAAGAAAAAAACCUAGACUAUACAAUAAAGAAAUUACAGCAUAUUACAUCCACUGGGCAUCAAAGUUUGCCACUAUGAUAAUAAAGCACAAGCAGAUAGCAGAUUACAUACACUAGGCAUCAAAGAUCGCCACCGGUGCAAAUAAACACGCCGACAAAAUAAUAUACAAAACUGACAUCACUUCAAUAGAGUUCAAGAAAGGUUAGCCCUGCUGGGGAGCUGCAGUGCAAGCAGCUGAGCAAGAUGAUGAGACUGCGCUUGUUCAACACUUAUAUCUUCCUCACUUUGAAGAUAAACAAGCAGACAGAUGACAGGUUUUGCACAUAAAAGUAUGAGUGCUGACAAUUCAUCCCAUUUCGUACUCACGAAUAAAGUGACAUAGUUUAAAAUUGCAUUAACACAAUAUGGUAUUGUUCAGGUCAAGACAUGGCAGGAAAUGACAUUGUGAAGGAGUUGGCAGCUUCACGACACCACUGGAUUACAGAUCAAGAACUCAUAAGUAUCAAUGGUUAGUGUGUUGUCAAUUUAUCCCAUUUCAGAUUGGCAAAUAAAGAGACGGUUUAAAUAAUAGUAGAAUGAUAUGACAUUGUUCAUAGUUAAGACAUUGCAGAAUAUGACAUUGUGCUGUAGUUGGUAGGUUCACCACGCCACUGGAUUACGGAUGAAGAACAGAAGCAUACAUGCAGUGCAAAAGAAGAUCACUUGCUCUGUAUAGUUUAAUUUACAUGGUAUGAAGAAGGAACUUGGUUGUACAACUGAAAACUUAAAUUUAGAAAGGACAAACUUUUGUUUAUGAACUACAUAAUCAACUUUAAACAUGCAAUUUGAUGCAAACACCAAAAAUAAAUAGUUGUUGCAGUCCUGCCUAACCAAAUAUAUACAACAAAGUUUGAAGGCUUGAGAUGGACAAACUUACAUUAUUGGUGAAGACAGGCUCUAUAAAGGCCUUGUCCAUGCUAAUGGGGGGGGGCAAUUCAAGAAGUUUACCACACAAUCUUCUUCAUAAGCAUUGCCUUUAUUCUACAUUUUGUUAAGAGUAAAUAUAGAUGUGAUAAUAUACGAAAAAAUGGAGCUUAAGAUAAUAUGAAGAGUGAUGCUACAUAACCAAGUAGCUAUAAAUGUAAGUGCAGCGAUACAGGCAAAAGGUACAGCCAAGAGCAAUGCACAGCUAAACUUCUUCAGUACCAACCUUAUGGUAAGAGUAAAUAUAGAUCUGAUGUGUAGAAAAUGGAGGGCAAAGGAAAAUAAGCUGCAGAGUGAUGGUACAUGAACAACUACCUGUCAUUAUAAGUACACUGAUAAAGGACAACAUGUACUUACAAGAACAAUGCAGAGCUAAAAAAACAUUGGCAUUGGAUAUAUUCUACACUAAUGUAACCAUUCAUACAGAUCAGAUAAUUUGGAGCGAACAAUUGAUAAGCAAGCUAUCAUGCAUACUGCUGUCACAUAAUGAACCAGGUAUGUAUGCAAGUACAGUGAUACAGGACAAUAGGUACUAACAAGAGCAAAGCAGCGGGCAGCAUAUUUGCGAUAUCCUGUCGUUCUUUUCAAACCGGAAUUAUUCUUUGAGCAGAUUUCCUGCAAAAAAGAUCCGUAAGGCACAUGCGGAAAAGUAGAAGUUCAAAUUGUCAUGUGAUUUCAUAGACAGUACCUCAUCCUGGGAACGAGACUAGUGCAUAACAAGGUUUUUCCAUUCAAUGUCUUCUAAAUUUAGCACAGGAGACUUCACCAGAAAUUCGUUUAUAGACUUUCCAUCAAAGUGUGAUUUCCUCAGGUAACACCGAUACUGCUGCAAUGCUUCCUUGAAAAGCACAAGCAAGCUUUGCUCGUCAUGACUAUCCAGAUUGACCCUGGCCUAGUUACAACAAUCUAAUGUAAAUCAUUGAUGUGUUCAAUCAGCAGAAAACAGGAAAAUAAUAACCAUGAAUAAUAGCACUUACACGUAAGUUGGACAGGAAGAUGUGAAAAUGGUGUUUGUCUUCACAAUAAUCUUCGCAUGAUGGGAAUAUAUGCACGUAGUCCCUAACAACAUUGAAAGCAUUGUCUUUUAAACUGGGAAUAAAUGGAAUGGGGUUCCAAUCUGCAGGAAUUGACCGUCUCUGCAGUUGGGAUAGGUCUUCGGCCGGUGGACUUGCUGUACUUUUUGCUGGAGUGGGAUUUUUCUGUGGUACAGCUGGUGCUAUGGCAAAUGAAAUCGGUAUACCUUUUGCUAGAGUGCAGGUCCUGUGUGGUGGGGCUAGUGGUGUGGCCAGUGAAGUAUGGGUACAGUCUGCUGGAGUCGGUCCUACGUUUUGUGUCACUGGUUGUACAUCCAAUAUAAGUGGGGUGGUGUCUGAUUUCUCCGGCACCACCACGUUUUCAAGGACUUUGCUGGUGCUCCUUCAGGUUCGGCAAUCACCCUCUUCCUUUUUGAUGUCUGAUGCACAAGAACAUCAUUUGAGUGGAAAAACAUGGUAUGAUGACAGAUGGAAUAUGUAUUGAUAAUGGAUGGGCAUGGUAUCUCCACAUAUAUGAUGAAUAAACUAAGCAUAUGGCGGUGCAACAAAGGAGAAGAAAUGCAAGACAACAUAUGCAAGAUAACCGCAAUCAAUAAAACACUGCCAAAUUAGAACAUGCACCUUGAUGGGUGAACAGGAUAGGCCAUCUGCCUUUGACUCCUCGAGGUUAGAAUAGUCAUUAGGAUCAUAUUCUGAACAAGAAUCAACAGGUGGGGAGCGUAUGAGUUUCAUUGCAUCCAGAAUGGCACUCAAUGCCUUGGUGCCAAUUUUGUAAGUCAUUGCAGUGUUUAGCUUCAAGAGUGGACUGCUGCUAGUGCGACACAAAGCAGCUACACAGAUCAUAGUGUAGAUAUAAUAGUGAAAACCGUAAGCAUCAGAGUAAAAUCAGCAAAGUGGAACUUGCUGGAAUAUAUGUGCUAGUAUUGCCGGUACGGCUAGAAAGGCUUCAGAUACCAGCUCUCUUCAAGUGAAGGUGUGGUACUGUUAAUAUCAGUGUAACUCUCAAAGGUGACACAACUCCCCACAUUUCCUUGCUAUUCUUAUAAGAUUCAAGUAGGCAGGCCACUACAAAUCCUAUUCCUAUCUUUACAAGAUCCUACGACUCAAAGAGGCUCAGAGUGUCCAUCACAACCGACCGUAUAGACCUCUACACUUCAAAUGUCCCUGCUCAUCUUCAGUACAAGGAACAUACUGUACUACUAUCAUACUCCCUCCAUUCCAAAAUAUAAGUCUUGGUAGAGAUUUCCACUAUGGAUCACAUACAGAUGUAUCCAGAUACAUUUUAGAGUGUAUAUUCACUCGUUUUGCUCCAUAUGUAGUCCAUGGUGGAAUCUAUACAAAGACUUGUAUUUAGGAACAGAGAGAGUACAUAUUAAAGAAGAACGGAAGAGGAACAUGGUAAAGAAGAGCAAGUAGAUUUUGGAUAAUAAAAUGUUGGUUGCGCAGUGCCCACACAUGAUGAACCAGAGCACAUUAAGAAUGCAACUCCCAGCUGUCUCUCGACCAUUUCAGGCAGUUGGAUGAAGAUCCUACGUCUCCUAACCCAUCUUCUUCCUCGUCUCUGAUUCUUCCCAUACAGAACACCGUACGGGCCGCCGACCGGACCACCGGCCCCCACCGCCAGUGUUCCUCCGCCACCCCCACCCCCACCCCCGCCCCAACCCCCCACCCGCGUCGAGUUUUCUUCGUUCAGCGAGGCCCCACAACCACCCGAGCCCCUUCGUUCGCACCAGCGAACUCCGGCAAGCUCUGAAAAAUUUAGUCUAUUGUGAUUUAACUAGUGUGGAAUAUAAAAGGGGAAAACCAUAAGCAUUGGGAGUAUAGUUUUGAGCGUGCCAUGGCGGAUCUGAAGGUGCAAACCGGACAAAGGCAACUUUGCAACCAAGACAAGAAAUCAGAGUAAAGCAGUGGCGAUCUAUUUUCUUGCUGCGAUAAAUAAGUUGAGCAGAUACGAAAGAGUACCGCCUCUGGUGUGGCGCCGUGUACACAUCUGCUGAGAAUUUGACGGUGCUGCGGUAGCGAUGGCUGACGGUGGCAUGAAAAUAGAUCUAGGAGGGUAGACGGUGGCGGCGGGGCGCGGUGGACGAGACGGUCGUAGGAGCGGCGCCGACAAGGUGGACGACGGCGGGGAUGAAGCGAUAGGACGGGAUGCAAGGAUCCCGGUCCGAAGGCGUGGAUGAGAGAGGUCGAUCUCUUGUAAUGGACGGAAGCAUCGGGGUAUCGGCUCCGGCAUGGUGGAGGAGGACGGCGGUGGAUGGGGUGGCGGACGGCGGCGAACAGAGGAGGGUGGGGUGGAGAGGGUGUUUUGGCGCCCACGGAGUACGAAUGGGGAAAAGGGAGGUAGAGAGGAAGGGGGAACCAUGUAUUCAGGGCGCGCUUGUCUCAAAUGCGAGGAAAUUUACAAACUUAGCCCCCGUUUAAAAUUUCUACUACAUCACAGCAACAUUAGUCGGUUGGGGAUAGGACGGUAAUCUCGCAUACACCGAAUAUUUGCCGACGAGAGUUUGUUUUUGGCGCCCAUCGUGUAUGAAUAUGAAUCGGGGAGGGAGUCAAUUUCGGCCGAGGACACACUGUGUUUUGGCGCCCACUGUGUAUGAAUCCGGGUGAGAGGCGGUUACGUCACGUUUGGGUGAAAUUACAAACCUACCCCUAUCGAAACCUAUAGAAAUCCAGCAGAUAGGCUUUGCGUGGUAGGGAUAGGCAGUAGUAAUUUCCAUCUCGCAGAUUUUGGUUUCAGGCGGUUACUGCGACUUUCCCCGCUUCAUUCAAAUUUUGCAGAGUGCACGUUUACCGUGCGAACUCAAUUCGAAUCUCGUUUGUAUUCUAUUUUUUUCGGGCGGGAUCCAUUUUCAAUUGGUAUUACAUUCUAUAUACAUCAUUUUUUUAUAUAUACUUUCAAAAGCACAACAAAGAAUUCUACUCCUUUAUAUGUAUAAUAUGAUUUAAAAAUACAACGAUCUCGAAAUCUUAAGGUUGAAUUCGAAAAAAUUUAACCAAAUUAUGUUCUACUAAAAUGUAUGGAUCACUAAUAUCUACAUAUUAAAUAACAUAGAUGUGCGUGAAUUCAUAUGAGUAUGCAUGUUUGAUAGAUCAAUUUUGGUUCGAGUAUGGAUUACAUGUAUCAUCAUCUCAAAUUCAAAUAUUCGAAUCCCUUUUUUGUUUACUCCUUUCACGCCCAUAUCUCUUGCAUGCAUGCUCCUUCAGGUAGCUAUCACUCUCUUUUCUCCAGCUCACCCGCACGCUCACUUCAUGUUUCUCAUAUCCUCGCAAACAUGGUAUCUCGACAUCUCCCUUGAGAAGUGUCACACUCUCCCUAUCAUUAUACAUUACACGGUUUUCAUUAUCUCUCACGUCUCUACUGUUCUCUGGUAUCACUCGGUACCUAAGCUUUCUUUUUCACCGCCACACACACAGUCUCCACUCGUCUUUCACUUUGUCUUUCUCUCUAUGGUAUUCUCUCACACACCCUAUAUGUCUCUACAUAUGACUCAUACCACUAAAAUUACUCUCUCUCUCUCUCCUGUAGACACAACAUUUGUUGCGGUCUCCUUUUCGUCUCCAUCCCAGACUGACAUUAUUCAUUUGUUUAUCGAUCAGACAACCCCGACUACCGUCUCCUCUCUCUCUCACACACAGACACACACACACAACUCCUGCUUCCACUCCCCUUCCCGACUACCAUCUCUCUCUCUCACACAAAACUCUUGCUUUCGCACCCCGACUCGUAUUUCUCUCACAAACAUUUAUCGACUAGCUAGCCUCUAGAUAGGUUUAUACACCCGCACACUCAAGCUUUCACCAUCGCAUACAUGUCUCUCUCCCGCUCCUUGUAUCUAUGUAGCUUUUUCUUCCCUUCUUGAGACACGCCCUCUCGACUGUGCACACACACACUAUCGCCUCAUUUUAAGCUGAUACCUAUCGCACACACACUCCUUGUGUCUUUGUCACACAUGCACUCCGUCCUCCUCCACUCUCCCUCUCCCUCACACACACAUGGGCUUUUUGCAACAACUAGCAAGAUGCCCAUGCAUUGCACGGAACAUCAAGGUGCAUUUGUAUGAGUAGUUUAUCUUGUGGGGGAAAAGGAUGAAUGAGGGAAGGCCUUAUUUGCAAAUGUGGAGAGGGGUGUGGGUAUCUUUUUGCAAAAUUGCCAUAGUUUCCUUCCUAUCCGUCAAAUAUAGAUCGAAUGGCCUAUAUUGCAGGAUGGCAGGCAAACGAUCAUCACCGACAAUGCUUUUUAUAAGAGUAGGGAUAAAAAUAAGAGUUGGUGAUGAUGGUGGGCCUGCCAGCUUGCAAUGUAGGUCGUCCGAUUUAUAUCUGACGGAUAGGAAGGAAAAUAUGACAAUUUACCCGCACUCUUCACCACAUUUGCAGAUAAGGCCUUCCCUCGUUCAUCCUUUUCUCCCACAAGAUCUUGAUGUUCCGUGCAACGCACGGGCAUCUUGCUAGUAAGAGUAGAAAUUAGACAUAUACCACUUCUCGAAUCUUGAAACCAACAACAUUCCUCCCUUAUCUCAUCAAAACCGCCAAAGGAAUAUAUUUUGAGUGAAACAUAACAUAUUUUUAGUGAUAUAUGUAUUUCAAAACUAGACUUUUUUUCUAUCAAAUCGGUGAAUAGACUAUUAAUCUACUUUGAUCGUGUGGCAACACAUUGGCACAUUGCUAGUAGUUAUUAUAAUUUUUUGGACACCAGACAAACGGUGGAGUACAUAUACAAAGAGAAGAGGCGCACACACGCAGUCGGCCUCUCACUGUCUCGCACACAUGAGUGUUACGUAAAGGCGACGUUAACAAAUAAACCCUAAAACCCUAGGUGCACGAUUGCUGCAUUCGCGGGUACUGGGUACGUGGUGGAGCACCUUUGUAGGAAUAGUCAGCUCGCGUGAUAAUUUGACCCAUAGGAGUUGAUGGUCGGGACCACAGGUGAACCUUGGAGCGCGGUGGCUCGCCAGUUGCCACAGAUCGAGUAGCCACGUUUAAAAUAUCAUUUUUAGCGGGGUUAAGAGUUCCGAUUUUCAAUGGCACGUUAUAAGUAGUAAGUAAGUUUUAGAACGAUUGGUAUGGAGCGAAAAUGGAAUUCAUAGUACUACGUACCUCCUUGGCAUAUGGUUGUAUGGGUUUAUGUUGCGAGAUAUUGAACCUGGUAGUUCUAGGGCAAAUACUAUGGUUUAGAUUUAGAUGCUGGUUUUCAGUAAUGAAAAUCGGAAGGGGAAACCCUUCUUUGAUUAAAAAAACUACUACCUCCAUUCUGGUUUAUUAGUCGCCAUCGUACUUUGGGUCAAAGUUUGUCCACGAAUUUUACUUGUAAAAUGUGAAUGGAAAACGAGAUUUUGUUAUACCCGAACAAAAAAGGACUGGAGGGAGUGAUUGCUUUGACAUGGAUGCGACCUCUCAUAGCGCAGGCAUUGAACCGGCGCGCCGGCCAAGAGGGCCGCACUUGCUGCAGGCCCGGCUGAGCACGCCUCCUCGCCUUGUGCAACCAGCUUAAGACUGCCCCGCCUGCCUUCAUUGAAUCCGCGCGUGUGCCGGUAACACGUCCUUCCGCGAGCCAGCAGGCAUUUUAGAACACAAAAAAUGACUAAAAUAUAAUUAAUUUAUGCAUGGUCUUGACUUGUUGUGCUCGCACUGGUAGCAUGAACUAGUAGAUGUUUUUCUUUAUUUAUAACUCUCCUCACAUUUUUUUGGCUUUGAAGUGAAUCAUGGUUGUGGACAUUAUGUAUGAAUGUGCAGAUAUCUGUGAACAUGAGUUUGAUGUGGAAGUUGAACUUGGAAUAUCGGGCUUGCACGUGAAGUAUACCAUGUCUAACGCUUCGUCUGUUAUUGUUUGGAAAGUAAUUGUUGUUAUUACAUGACCCAAAAAAAACAUUUUGUGCCACAUCAGUAGAUGCACAGACAUCACAACAGGCAUGUUGACUGGAUAAACAUUUGAACCUAGCUAUUAUGAAGUAAAUUUUCUAUUGACAACAGUUUUAGAUAGCAGGAGACGCCUAGCCUGCUCUGCCUCUGCUAGCUUAUUUCUGGCUUCUUCCAUCUCUUCUUUGGCUUGGGUGAAGAGAGCAUCUAAUUGCUCUUUUCGCUUCUUCAGGAACUCACCUACAUUCUCAAGGGCUGCUGCACGCUUUCUUUCAGCCAUUACUAAUGCCACGAGGACACGAACAGCUGAUGACUCCACUUGGCUUGUGUGUAAUCCAGCAUCAUCUGGGAAUUUGCACCUUGUGUCUAAUCCAGCAUCAUUAGGGAACUGGCACCUUGUGUGUAAUCCAGCCUCAUUUUGGAAACAUGAUCUCGAGGUUGACCAUACUUCCGUCCUCGCAGGAACUGCAUCCUGACAUGAAGUUACUUCUUUUUUAGAUCAAUACUCAGAGCAACCUAGAUCCAUUUAGUAAAGCCAGAUAAACAGAACUCGGAGAAAAGAAUUCAAAAGAAAAAGAAAUAUAAAAACAGACUACAAGGUGAGAACACCCACUUCCUACAUCAAGCUAAAAACGAAAGCAUUAGGACGAUUAAGACUCUUCUUGUUACACAUCGAAGAACACCAUGCUUAAGAGAAACAGAAACUACAACAUAUACACAUCGAAGAACACGAGGCUAAAUGAAAGUAAUUGAAAGUGUGUUACUUACCAAAGCUUGUUUUACAGGUUGAGUGCAGCUCCUCUUUAACUUGCCAUGCUCCUUGAAGAUGUCCCGAAUAUCCCAUGUUUGGUCUUCAUUGCUCCUCUGCAUGUUCGCACUCGUGGUUUUAAAAUCUCAACCUGGCAAGAAAAAUAUACUACUACUCGCACAUCUUGUGGGCAACAUUAAAGCACUCAUCUGCCAUGUUAGAGCAUCUCCAACAGAAUCGCAACGCACGGUGCUUUAAAAAAGUGUUUACAGUGCUGAGAUCGAGAAGUAGAUACUAGAGAGUAGAGGAUAGUUCUCAGCAUAGAUAGAUACAAAAAAGAUAAUUCAACUACUCCUCGCCGUCCGACUCCUCCUCGGUGAUGUCCUCCUCCGACGUCUGACUGUAGGCGUGAAGAUACCGAUCGUCGUCGGAUUCCCAGGGCGACGCUGCUCCUAGCCUCAUGUUGAAUUGAGCGUCCACUUUUCGUCUAUGCUUGUCCUCGCGAUAGGCGGCUCGCUCCGCCCUCCUCUUAUCCCUCUCCGCCCUCCUUUGCACGUAGAACUCGUGCUUGUUGAUGAUGUCCUGUGGGAAGUGUUGGCACCACAGCGCCAUGGCUUCCUCGUCCAUCUCAGCGAAGCCGAGACGGUGCUCCCGCCUCCGGUUGUCGCGACAAUCCUUGUCGGUGCUAAGCCGCGGCAGAGGCGGGAGCUCCUGCGCCCGCUCCCGCGUCGGCACGUUGGGGAAGUUCAUUGUUCUAUGAGGCCACCGGAGGCGCCACGCUGUUGCGUUGUACGCAUGGGCGGCCUCAUUGGCGGUGUUGAAAUUGCCGAGGCCAAGGCGCAUCCCGCGGAACCGGAUCUCGGCAGAGAAGCCGCCGGAGGGGCGCACGCGGACGCCGCGAUAUCCCCAAGUUUCCCGGCGACGCGGCGGCAUGGUGGCGCGGUGGCGGAGAGGCGAAAAAGAGCGGGGAGAGAGCGGUGGCGAGGCACAGAGCGAGGAGAGAGCGGUGGCAAGGCACAAAGUGGUGGGAGGGCGUCGGAUUUUAUAAAGUGCGCCGAACACUGCGCGUCAAAACUAGCGCACGCUUGGCCGUUUUUUUCCGUGCGCGCGAUCCUUUCCCGACGUCUCUGCUAUCUCUACUCUCUUCUCUACUGUUAUAUUUAUUUUAUAUUUAAUAUUUAAUAUUUAUCUCUACUUCCUUUACUAUCUACUUUUUUCUCUAUACUUUUUUUCUUGCAAUAUAGGCCGUCCGAUUUAUAUCUGACAGAUAGGAAGGAAACAAAUGGGAAUUUUGCAAAAAGAUACCCAUACCCCUCUCCAGAUUUGCAAAUAAGGCCUUCCCUCGUUCAUCCUUUUCUACCACAAGAUAAACUACUCAUACAAAUGCAUCUUGAUGCGUGCAACGCAUGGGCAUCUUGCUAGUUCUAAAAACCUUUCCAUCAUUUGCCACACUACUGGUUGCAAAUGAAAAACCUACCCAAGCACAGCGUGAUACAGGAGUGACGCACAAUUACAAGCUGAUAUUCUGUUGGACAAUGGAGGCUAUAACCAAUUACUUCUACAGGAACAAUAGCACCCGGGAAAUUUCAAGGGUAGGUAUGAACAAAUUGGAACUGCACUGUACUGCUAAGUGAUUCAAUACACACAUUACCAAUCGAGGAGGAGAACGAUGGUCGCGGCGGCCUCUGUGAGUCAUGGUCGGCAACGGGAGUCAGUUCAUUGUCCAUGACAGUGGUACUUCUGUGCUUGGCGUCGGCUUCCGGGAAGCAGAUCCGAGACCGUGGAAGAUGAUGCCGGGGAAGAGGCUCCGUGUACGAUGACGACGGUGGACCGGCUCCAGUGCAGCGUACGAGGUCGUCGAUGAGGUAGAUGCGCUGUGGUGGACGAGUGCGCUGAUGUAAAGGGGAGGAGCACGAAGGGUGCGGUGCCAUGGAGAAGUCUAUUUUGCGAUGGGGAUAGAAAAUGGGGAGUAUUCAGGUGUACUACUCUGGGUGCCGGGUUGGGGUUGGCUGGGUAGGGUGAACCUGAAGUUACGAAAACAGCCCCCUACCAAGCGUCAUCCGUAGGCUUGUUCCGAAGGCUAUGAUGGUAACUUCCCACUGCUCGAAUCAGGGUCGCGGGAGAUUUUCCCGCCGACCUCAAAAAUUUGUGACACUGGACUCCCCGUGUGGCGUGUUGAGUGAUUCGGCUAAGCAACUAGUGAGUAGUAGUAGUAAACUCUGCAUAUUAGGUUUGACCGAAGUCAAACUUCCUAAAGUUUGACCAAGUUUAUAGAAAAAUAUAAACAUUUACCAUAACAAAUAUGUAUGAUGUGAAAGUACAUUCAAUAAUGAAUCUAAUGGUAUUUAUUUGUUAUUGUAUAUGUUAUUAUUUUUUGUUAUAAGCUUUCUGAGAGUUUACAAAACUUGACUUUGACCAAUGCUAAUACGCGGACUUAAAUAAAAAUGGAGGGAGUACACAUUUGUUUUCUUAUUUUGUAGUGAACUAAUCAUUUGUUGAAAUUGUGAAAUAAAUAUAUUAGGCUAUUGACUUUGAAUGUAAUGGUCUAUACAAUUCAAUAGUUAUAAUCAUUGUCGAAUCCCAAGAUGUAUACAAGGUCUAUAGUACUUCACAACAUGCUCAAGCUCACAUAAUCCCAGUCAAAUGAGAAUCUAAAUGCAUUUCAUAGUUAUUACUUUGUAGGAUGCAACAAAAACAACCAUAACUCUACAUCAGCCAUUAUAGAAGCAACAUUUUGACAUAUCUCAAUGUGUGAAUGAAACAUGCAGAGAGAGCUUUUGAAGAUGGAGCAGAUAGGGUGGGAAAGAUUGUAUGUAUGUGGAUGAGAGAGUAGGAGACAAACCUAACGAGACAGAGAGAGAGAGAGAGAGAGGAAGAGAGAGGAAGAAGUUAGGUCUGUGAGAAAGAUGGAGACAUGUAAUAUACGUGAGAUGCGUGUGCAUCCGGAUUCUGUAUAUGUCGAAGGAGAAGAGACAACAUGUUUGAUGAGAGAGCUGGAAAAACAUGGACGAGAGGGGAAGGAUCUCGUGGGUUGAGGGAUUGACAAUUUUGUGCGGGGGAGAGAGGGAUUGGUAAUUUUGUGCAAGAGAGAGAGGGUGGGGGAGGAGUCAGUAAGCCGUCGUCACAUCACCCUGCUUCCAAAUGACCCCGCAUUCCCUAGCGCGGUGUGGUCACGUCUUCGAUCUGCUCGAUGCCCUCUUUGAAGAUUGAGGUGUUGUGCAUGUUGCGGUGCAAAGAAGCACAAGCGAGAGUGGUCGCCGUAUAACCUUGGAUGGGGAUGAAUUGUGUGCUCGGGGGAGUGUGUGUGUGUGUGUGUUGUGCUGCGUGUGUGUGUGUGUGUGUGUGAUAUUGAGAGAAAACAAACCUAAGGAGAGAAAUGGGUAUUCAUGAAGAGAUUGUGCGGGCCUUGAGGUGGGCAGGGGCCGGGUGAGGGUGUCAAAAUGUGCGCGUUGAUGCAUGUGUUGCAUGCGAUCAUGCGAGGGACGGACGAAUCGAGAGAGAUGGUUGUUGUGUUAUGGAUGCUCCUCUCUCUCUGUGUCUGUCUCUCUCUCUCUCUCUCUCACGCACACACACACACACAAGUAAACUAGAAGACCGUUCUCUCAUGUAUACACAACGUAUCGGCAUCUGUCUAUGUCUCACUCAUGCAUGAUCAUUUCCACAUUCACACCUCUCUAUGUCUGUAUCACACGCACUCCGUCUCCACAUUGCCCUUCCGCCACAACACACAUAUGGACACAUACAUACGUUUUCUCUCAGUCACACACACACACAAUAAGUAUUAAAAAACUAGGGCGCACCUAAAACGUCCAAAUCCAAAUAAACACGAACUGGAGCUAAAUUCAAAUAUAUGGAAAUAUUGCAGCGUCAAGAACUUUCCCAGGAAAAAAAAGUUGAGUAAUAUUCGAGGAUUGUUUUCACACACACAAAAAGGUUCGGUGGAUGUCCUUCGAGCGCGACACGGUGACGCACCGUUCGAUCGACCGCGCGGCUGCGGUUCACGCGCUUGCAUAGGAUUCCGUAUCGUGGCUGUGGUACUAACUUAAAAAAACUAAUAAAAGCGCUGCCUAAGUCUAAUGUUUACGUGUACUAGUAUGGUUUUCUUUUAAGUUUGACCAACCUUAUAUAAAACUAAAGUAAGCUCCCACACGCGCGCUCAUCAAUAUGCCGUCGCCGCCGUUGCGCAUGCUGGCGCCCGCCUGCUCCGGCCAACAAUUUCUCGCCCAUCACCACUGUGUCGCCGCCAUCCCUGUGCCAUGAAGCGGAAGGCUCGCCCGCUCACGUCGUCUGCAGUUCCUCCUCGCCAUGCCGCCGCGCUGCCAAGCACGCGAGCAACUGGUGGAGCCGCGUCUAUGCACGCAGCGUAUGAAGAGGAGGACGAGCGCGUGCUCCAGCACGCCGGCGAGGAGGAACUAGCAUGUCAUUGUCGUCUCCGCCCGUGCAGAGGAGGCGUGCAUGGUGGCUGUCACGGCGGAAGGCAGUUGCGCGCGCGUCGAGCCCACAAACUGGGUGUGGACGCGGAAUCUACCUUCGAUACCUUGAAUGCCACGUGGAUCCUGCAAUCUGAAGGAGCAAUUUGGGUCAGUCGACUCAUGCGAGCUGUUUGAUGCAACAUGGAUGGCUAGAAGGGCUUCUUCCACCUCUUCUGCCGUCUUCUUCCUUCGCUCCGUCAAACUUCUUUCACAAAUCGACUGACCCAAAUUAUACUACUAGUACGAACGUAUUAAGUACAGUAGGAACACGAAGAUACGAGCAGUAGUACCAACUGCAAGAAAAACAGUAGUAAGACAUAGUACUAGUACUACUGUACGUACUAAAGAGUUCAAAUAACGAUAAAGAACAUAAACAUAGUUCUGUUGGGGCCUCAGCACAACACAUCAUUGAAAAUAAACUUAGCAACUAGUCCGCUUGACACUGCAGUAGAACCAGCAUGAGCGACGGCACUGCCACCUACUCGGAGUCCGAGUCCAUGUCCUCGACUUUGUCCUCGUCCCUCUUCCGCUUCCUCUUCGCCGACGCUUCUUUGCUUGAACCAGACACUGGGCUCUGCUUCUUGAUCCAACCCUUGUAGAUAUUUAAACAAAGGUAGGCAUCCAUUGCUGCGUACAAGAUGUGAUCUUCAUCUAAUGUCUUCGACUCCCAUGCAUGAUGAAACUCGUGAUGAGGUUUCUUCAGUUUAGCGUACGAAGGAUCAAUCAUGGCUGCUGCCAGGGUCAGCAUUGAAGGUUGAGAGGAGGACACCAGGCUUGCCUUCUGGAGAUCAAAGGGUUGGCCUACAACGAGACCUAUCCGACGCAGGACAUCCCUGUCCUUCUUAAAGCCUACAGUAACGAAUUUCACUCUUUUGUCCUUGAGGAAGUUCUUAAAAUCCUGGCACUCAACGUCGGCAUGGCAUAUGUGGUAGACCAAGCAAACCUUAUGUACGCAAACCUGGAUCACGGCGAGCUUCUUCCUCUCUUCGUCCUUUAGAUCCUUCUCUCGUCCCAGGACUGUGGUGUACUCAACAUCUAGCCCAGCGACCCACUCAUCUGUUGAACUGUUGAACAUGCGUAGGAAGCGAGCAAGCCAUGCUUUCACCGUCGUGGAUCCAUGUGUGUAGAUGACGAUGAACUGAUUGCCGGUGAUGGCUCUAACCUGGUACUCAGUGGCGACCAUGGAGAUUUGGGAGGCCAUGGAUUUUGGAGGAGGGUUAGGAGAAGUUGAACUGUUGUACCCAGCAAAAACUGGGAGCGAGCUAAUGUGAAAGGAUGAGACGACUGGGAGCAAACUGUUGUGAGGUAGAAGACGGGGACGAGUAGGGCGUGCGAAUGGCGUGGGGUUGCUAGCUUGCCUGGUGGAUAAACGACUACAAGCCCCCAAAGAGUUCUCGAGAACUAUGCGGGACCCACUAGAUGUCAUGUCUACUACACCCAUAUUGUAGGCCUGACGGUAUAGCUUCUGCAUGUUCACACGUUCGCACGCCAUGCCGGCGCGUGGAUGUAACUUCACUUAAUUCCGUCAACCGUCGCGCCUCCCAUGACCUUCACCUCCCUCGCGUGGUCGCGCCCUUUGAGAAUUCGACCGGCUAUAAAUGAGCAAUUUUUUUUGCCUACUCCACAUGCAUGAUACUCCCUCUGGUCCUUUUUACUCCCGUCAACCGUUUGCAAAGUGUUUGACAAAAUUUAUACUUUUUUUAACACCACCUUAUAUUAAUUAACCAGCCACACCAGUACACUCAUUCGAUACAAUAUUCACCACACAGGGCGGUACAUUAUUUACAAGAAUACCAUCUAACCUAUUGUCAAAGCUAUACUUAGUGAUUAAGUGUGCCACCUUAUUGGCCGAACGGCUAAUCUUUGACAAUUGGAGAUUGUUGAUCAACUUCGAGAUGCUCAACGCUUUCAUCUUCAGGUCACGCAUAGCAGACCUGCCAUAGUCCCCCGAUGCAAGAGACGCUACCACAAAAGCGCAAUCAGUCUCCAAAAUUACAGGAUUAUGAAGAGAAAUACCUAUGUAGAGACCGGCAAUGCAAGCCCUAAGCUCCGCUUCCUCCACGCUUUGACAGGCAUCAAUGAAAUCCCACGACCAAAUUUAUACUAAAAAUAUCAAUAUCUACAAUACUGAUUAUAAUGAGUAUAAGAACUACGUUUUAUAAUGAGUGUAAAAAUAAUGAGUGUAAAAAUAUUGAUUUGACAUUGUGAAUGUUGAUACUACAUUUUUCUAUAAGUCUGGUGAAAGUAGAGGUACAUUGACUUUAGACAAAACUUAAAUGCACAAUGCAGACUAGUUCCUCCGUCUAGGUGCAUGCCAUGUCCUAUCUUGUCAUCACAACAAGGUUAGCUAUUAGAUUACCACUACCUCCCUUCUAGUUUAAAUUGCUCGAUUCAAAAAUUUCACCUACUCUUAGCAAGAUAGUAGAGGCGGUGGAAUAGUUUUUGAACUGCAAAAGUACUCAACUAAUGUUGUUGUUCUUCACAAAAAAUGUGUUUACCAAUGCAUGCAUGAACACUAGUUACUCUAACCCCCCCUCUUCUUUAAUUCUUUGCCACAUCGGCAUGUUUGCUAUUCCCGUGUGCAUGAUACCAGCUAAGGUACCACCAUUAUGGCCAACCUUAAUCAUCGCAUGCAAUAAUUUAGUGCACCUUGAAAUAUGAACAUGUGUGGGGCGUGUAUGUUUUUAAUGACUUGAGACUAUACCUAGCCCGACAUGCAAGAUGACUUAUUAUGCACCGUUCCCCAUCCCUGCAGGAAGCCCGUUUGUCUCCAAAUCUUUUCCUCUCCAUGUGUGGAAACAAUCCGAAAACAAUAUGCCUGCCAAACUCUCCUUCUCCCUCCGGUGGUCCCACCACUCCACCCCGUGUGAAAAAAUCUGCAUGCAUGACUCUCCUCCCCCCACGCUCGUCCAAUCCGUUGUGACCAGCAAUAUUUCCACCCCUUCACUCCCCCGUAAUUUACUCCAACAAAUAUGCCCAUGUAGCUUUUACUUAACUUUAGGUGCAUUGGGUCACUAACAUAUGGGCCCAACGGGGGAUUGGCCCACAUGUCAGUGACGCAACUGGACCUGCAGUUAAGUCAGUGCAGCUCAGUCCAUAUCUUACGUAGGUGUGCCAUUGCUUGCUAUAAAUACUGCGCCUCCCACGACAUCGCUAUCUCCUCCCCCUCAGGUUCACGUUCAUCGCUAUCUCCUCCCCCUCCCUCUCACGUCGACCACCAUGGCAUCGCCUCUCCCAAGCCCUAGGAGCCCCUUGCUGCACCCUACAGACGGUCACGCGUUGCCAUUCCGUUCCUCGCCGCCACUAGUCGAGGAGGACGCGUUGGUGUUUUGCUCCUUGCCGCUACGCGACGCGUCGCCGUUCCGUUCCUCGCCGCCACUAGUCGAGGAGGACGCGUCGGUGUUCUGCUCCUAGCCGCGACGCGACGCGUGGCCGUUCCGUUCCUCGCCGCCACUAAUCGAGGAGGACGCGUCGACGUUCCGCUCCUUGCCGUGAUGCGUCGAGGUGGACGCGUCGGUGUUCCCAAUCUCACCAGCACACGCGUCGGAGGAUGCGUCGGCUCCCCGCUACGAGGAGAACGCCGCGCCGCCCGCCGAGCCCCCCGGCCUUGAGGAGCUUUGGAAAGAAAUGGAUGUCGCCUUGUGGGAGGCUUUUGAAGGAAAUAUGCCCUAGAGGCAAUAAUAAAGUUAUUAUUUAUUUCCUUAUUUCAUGAUAAAUGUUUAUUAUUCAUGCUAGAAUUGUAUUAACCGGAAACAUGAUACAUGUGUGAAUACAUAGACAAACAUAUAAUCACUAGUAUGCCUCUACUUGACUAGCUCAUUAAUCAAAGAUGGUUUUGUUUCCUAACCAUAGACAUGUGUUGUCAUUUGAUUAAUGAGGUCACAUCAUUAGGAGAAUGAUGUGAUUGACAUGACCCAUUCCGUUAGCCUAGCACUUGAUCGUUUAGUAUGUUGCUAUUGCUUUCUUCAUGACUUAUACAUGUUCCUGUAACUAUGAGAUUAUGCAACUCCCGUUUGCCGGAGGAACACUUUGGGUGCUACCAAACGUCACAAUGUAACUGGGUGAUUAUAAAGGAGUACUACAGGUGUCUCCAAAGGUACAUGUUGGGUUGGCGUAUUUCGAGAUUAGGUUUUGUCACUCCGAUUGUCGGAGAGGUAUCUCUGGGCCCUCUCUGUAAUGCACAUCACUAUAAGCCUUGCAAGCAAUGUAGCUAAUGAGUUAGUUACGGAAUGAUGCAUUACGUAACGAGUAAAGGGACUUGCCAGUAACGAGAUUGAACUAGGUAUUGGAUACCGACGAUCGAAUCUCGGGUAAGUAACAUACCGAUGACAAAGGGAACAACGUAUGUUGUUAUGUGGUUUGACCGAUAAAGAUCUUCAUAGAAUAUGUAGGAGCCAAUAUGAGCAUCCAGGUUCCACUAUUGGUUAUUGAUCGAGAAUAGUUCUAGGUCAUGUCUACAUAGUUCUCGAACCCGUAGGGUCCGCACGCUUAAGGUUUCGAUGACAGUUAUAUUAUGAGUUUAUGAGUUUUGAUGUACCGAAGGAGUUCGGAGUCCCGGAUGAGAUCGGGGACAUGACGAGGAGUCUCGAAAUGGUCGAGACGUAAAGAUCGAUAUAUUGGACGACUAUAUUCGGAGUUCGGAAAGGUUCCGAGUGAUUCGGGUAUUUUUCGGAGUACUGGAGAGUUACGGGAAUUCGCCGGGGAGUAUAUGGGCCUUAUUGGGCCAUACGGGAAUAGAGGAGAGAGGCCGAAAGGAAGGAGGCGUGCAGCCCCCCUCUGGUCCGAAUUGGACAAGGGGUGCGGCCCCCCUUUCCUUCCUCCUCUCCCUCUCUUUCCCCCUUUCUCCUACUCCAACAAGGAAGGAGGGAGUCCUACUCCCGGUGGGAGUAGGACUCCCCUUGGCGCGCCCCUCCUAGGCCAGCCGCCCCCUCCCCCCUUGCUCCUUUAUAUACGGGGGCAGGGGGCACCUCUAGGAAGAACACACAAGUUGAUCUUCGUGAAGACGUACGACUACAUCAACAGCGUUGUCAUAACGCUUCCGCUUACAGUCUACGAGGGUACGUGGAUAUUACUCUCCCCUCUCGUUGCUAUGCCAUCACCAUGAUCUUGCGUGUGCGUAGGAAUUGUUUUUGAAAUUACUACGUUCCCCAACAGUGGCAUCAGAGCCUAGGUUUUAUGCGUUGAUGUUAUAUGCACUAGUAGAACACAAGUGAGUUGUGGGCGAUACAAGUCAUACUGCUUACCAGCAUGUCAUACUUUGGUUCAGCGGUAUUGUUGGAUGAAGCGGCCCGGACCGACAUUACGCGUACGCUUACGCGAGACUGGUUUUACCGCCGUGCUUUGCACACAGGUGACUAGCGGGUGUCUGUUUCUCCAACUUUAGUUGAACCGAGUGUGGCUACGCCCGGUCCUUGCGAAGGUUAAAACAACACCAACUUGAAAAACUAUCGUUGUGGUUUUUAAUGCGUAGGUAAGAACGGUUCUUGCUAAGCCCGUAGCAGCCACGUAAAACUUGCAACAACAAAGUAGAGGACGUCUAACUUGUUUUUGCAGGGCAUGUUGUGAUGUGAUAUGGUCAAGACGUGAUGAGAUAUAAGUUGUCUUAUGAGAUGAUCAUGUUUUGUUGAAGUUAUCGGCAACUGGCAGAAGCCCUAUGGUUGUCUCUUUGUUGCAUAAGAUGCAAGUGCCAAAUAAUUGUUUUACUUUAUCGCUAUGCGAUAGCAAUAGUUGCAAGAGCAACGACCAUGUGACGACACAUUGAUAUAGAUCAAGAUGAUGAAGAUCAUGGUGUCGUGCCAGUAACGAUAGAGAUCAUGACAGUACUUUGGAGAUGGAGAUCAAAGGCGCAAGAUGAUCAUGGCCAUAUCAUGUCACAUAUUUUGAUUGCAUAUGAUGUUUAUCUGUUAUACAUCUUAUUCUAUUUUGUUUGACGGUAGCAUUAUAAGAUUAUCUCUCACUAAAUUAUCAAGAAGUGUUCUCCCUGAGUAUGCACCGUUGCGAAAGUUCUUCGUGCUGAGACACCACGUGAUGAUCGGGUGUGAUAGGCUCUACGUUCAAAUACAAUGGGUGCAAAACAGUUGCGCACGCGGAAUACUCAGGUUAAACUUGACGAGCCUAGCAUAUACAGAUAUGGCCUCGGAACACGGAGACCGAAAGGUCGAGCGUGAAUCAUAUAGUAGAUAUGAUCAACAUAUUGAUGUUCACCGUUGAAACUACUCCAUCUCACGUGACGAUCGGACAUGGUGUAGUUGAUAUGGAUCACGUAAUCACUUAGAGGAUUAGAGGGAUGUCUAUCUAAGUGGGAGAUCUUAAGUAAUAUGAUUAAUUGAACUUAAAUUUAUCAUGAACUUAGUCCUGGUAGUAUUUUGCAAAUUAUGUUGUAGAUCAAUAGCUCGCGUUGUUGCUUUUAUAUGUUUAUUUUGAUAUGUUCCUAGAGAAAAUUGUGUUGAAAGAUGUUAGUAGCAAUGAUGCGGAUUGGAUCCGUGAUCUGAGGUUUAUCCUCAUUGCUGCACAGAAGAAUUAUGUCCUUAACGCACCGCUAGGUGACAGACCUAUUGCAAGAGCAGACGCAGACAUUAUGAACGUUUGGCUGGCUCAAUAUGAUGACUACUUGACAGUUUAGUGCACCAUGCUUAACGGCUUAGAAUCGGGACUUCAAAGACGUUUUGAACGUCAUGGACCAUACGAGAUGUUCCACGAAUUGAAGUUAAUAUUUCAAGCAAAUACCCGAAUUGAGAGAUAUGAAGUCUCCAACAAGUUCUAUAGCUAAAAGAUGGAGGAGAAUCGCUCAACUAGUGAGCAUGUGCUCAGAUUGUCUGGGUACUUCAAUCGCUUGAAUCAAGUGGGAGUUAAUCUUCCAGAUAAAAUUGUGAUUGACAGAAUUCUCUAGUCACCAUCACUAAGUUACUAGAACUUCGUGAUGAACUAUAGUAUGCAAGGGAUGACGAAAACGAUUCUCGAGCUCUUCAUGAUGUUGAAAUCGAUGAAGGUAGAAAUCAAGAAAGAGCAUCAAGUGUUGAUGAUUGACAAGACCACUAUUUUCAAGAAAAGGGCAAAGGGAUAGAAAGGGAACUUCAAGUAGAAUGACAAGCAAGUUGUCACUCCCACGAAGAAGCCCAAAGCUGAACCAAAGCGUGAAACUGAGUGCUUACACUGCAAAGGAAAUGGUCACUGGAAACGGAAAUACCCUGAAUAUUUGGUGGAUAAGAAGGAUGGCAAACUAAACAAGGGUAUAUUUGAUAUAUAGAUUAUUGAUGUGUACCUAACUAGUGUUUAUAGUAACCCCUGAGUAUUUGAUACUUGUUCGGUUGCUAAGAUUAGUAACUCGAAACAGGAGUUACAGAAUAAACAGAAACUAGUUAAGGGUGAAGUGACGAUGUGUGUUGGAAGUGAUUCCAAGAUUGAUAUGAUCAUCAUCGCACACUCCUUUCGGGAUUAGUGUUGAACCUAAAUAAAUGUUAUUUGGCAUUUGCGUUGAGCAUGAAUAUGAUUUGAUCAUGUUUAUUGCAAUAUGGUUAUUCAUUUAAAAUCAGAGAAUAAUUGUUGUUCUGUUCAAAUGAAUAAAACCUUUGAUGGUCAUACACCCAAUGAAAAUAGUUUGUUGGAUCUCGAUCAUAGUGAUACACAUAUUCAUAAUAUUGAUGCCAAAAGAUGCAAAGUUGAUAAUGAUAGUGCAACUUAUUUGUGGCACUGCCGUUUGGGUCAUAUCAGUGUAAAGCGCAUGAAGAAACUCCAUAAAGAUGGAUUUUCAGAAUAACUUGGUUAUGAAUCAUUUGAUGCUUGCGAACCGUGCCUUUUGGGCAAGAUGACUAAAACUCCGUUCUCCGGAACAAUGGAACGAGCUACUGACUUAUUGGAAACAAUACAUACCGAUGUAUGCGGUCCAAUGAGUGUUGAUGCUCGUGGCAAGUAUCGUUAUUUUCUAACCUUUACAGAUGAUUUGAGCAGAUAUGGGUAUAUCUACUUGAUGAAACAUAAGUCUGAAAUAGUUGAAAAGUCCAAAGAAUUUCAGAGUAAAGUGGAAAAAUCAUCGUAACAAGAAAAAUAAAGUUUCUAUGAUCUGAUCAUGGAGACGAAUAUUUGAGUUACGAGUUUGGUCUUUAAUUAAAACAAUGUGGAAUAGUUUCACAACUCACGCCACCUGGAACACCACAACGUUAUGGUGUGUCCGAACGUCGUAAUCGUACUUUACUAGAUAUGGUGCAAUCUAUGAUGUCUCUUAUCAGUUUACCACUAUCGUUUUGGGGUUAUGCAUUAGAGACAGCUGCAUUCACGUUUAAUAGGGCACCAUCUAUAUCCGUUGAGACGACACCGUAUGAACUAUCGUUUAGCAGUAAACCUAAGCUGUCGUUUCUUAAAGUUUGGAGUUGCGAUGCUUAUAUCAAAAAGGUUUUCAACCUUAUAAGCUCGAACCCAAAUCGGAGAAGUGUGUCUUCAUAGAAUACCCAAAGGUAACUAUUGGGUACACCUUCUAUUACAGAUCCAAAGGCAAGUUAUUUCGUUGCUAAGAUGGAUCCUUUCUAGAGAAAAAGUUUCUCUCGAAAGAAGUGAGUGGGAGGAAAGUAGAACUUGAUGAGGUAAUUGUACCUUCUUCCUUAUUGGAAAGUAGUUCAUCACAGAAAUCAGUUCCAGUGAUUCCUACACCAAUUAGUGAGGAAGUUAAUGAUGAUGAUCAUGAAACUUCAGAUCAAGUUGCUACCAAACCUCGUAGGUCUUCCAGAGUAAGAUCCGCACCAGAGUGGUACGGUAAUCAUGUUCUGGAAGUCAUGUUACUAGACCAUGAUGAACCUACGAACUAUGAGGAAGCGAUGAUGAGCCCAGAUUCCGCAAAAUGGCAUGAGGCCAUAAAUCUGAGAUAUGAUCCAUGUAGGAGAACAAAGUAUGGACUUUGAUUGACUUGCUCAAUGAUCAGCAAGCCAUGUUAAAUAAAUGGAUCUUCAAGAGGAAGACGGACACUGAUAGUAGUAUUACUAUCUACUAAGCUCGACUUGUUGCGAAAGGUUUUCGACAAGUUCAAGGUGUUGAAUACAAUGAGAUUUUCUCACUCGUAUCGAUGCUCAAGUCUGUCUGAAUCAUGUUAGCAAUUGCCACAUUUUAUGAAAUCUGGCAAAUGGAUGUCAAAACUGCAUUCCUUAAUGGUUUUAUUAAAGGAGAGUUGUAUAUGAUACAACCAGAAGUUUUUGUCGAUCCGAAAGGUGCUAACAAAAUGUGCAAGCUCCAGCGAUUCAUCAAUGGACUGGUGCAAGCAUCUCAGAGUUAGAAUAUACGCUUUGAUAAGUUGAUCAAAGCAUAUAGUUUUGUACAGACUUACGGUGAAGCAUGUAUUUACAAGAAAGUGAGUGGGAGCACUACAGCAUUUCUGAUAAGUAUAUGUGAAUGACAUAUUGUUGAUUGGAAAUAAUGUAGAAUUAUUCUGCAAAGCAUAAAGGAGUGUUUGAAAGGAUUUCUUUCAAAGAAAGACCUCAGUGAAGCUGCUUACACAUUGAGCAUCAAGAUCUAUAUAGAUAGAUCAAGACGCUUGAUAAGUUUUUUAAUGAGUACAUACCUUGAUAAUUUUUUUGAAGUAGUUCAAAAUGGAACAGUCAAAGAAAGAGUUCUUGCAUGUGUUGCAAGGUAUGAAAUUGAGUAAGACUCAAAUCCCGACCACAGCAGAAAAUAGAAAGAGAAUGAAAGUCAUUCCCUAUGCAUCAGUCAUAGGUUCUAUAAAAGUAUGCCAUGCUAUGGACUAGAACUAUUGUAUACUCUGCCCUGGUUUGGCAAGGGAGUACAAUUGUGAUCUAAGAGUAGAUCACUGGACAUUGGUCAAAAUUAUCCUUAGUGGAAUAAGGAGAUGUUUCUCGAUUAUGGAGGUAAUAAAAGAGUUCGUCGUAAAAGUUACAUCGAUGCAAACUUUUACAUUGAUCCAGAUGACUCUAAGUCUCAAUCUGGAUACAUAUUGAGAGUGGAAGCAAUUAGCUAGAGUAGCUCCGUGCAAAGCAUUGUAGACAUAAAAUAUUUGCAAAAUACAUACGACUCUGUAAUAUGACAGACCCGUUGACUAAACCUCUCUCACGAGCAAAACAUGAUCAUACAUUAGUACUCUUUGGGUGUUAAUCACAUAGCAAUGUGAACUAGAUUAUUGACUCUAGUAAACCUUUUGGGUGUUGAUCACAUGAUGAUGUGAACUAUGGGUAUUAAUCACAUGCAGAUGUGAAUAUUGGUGUUAAAUCACAUAGCGAUGUGAACUAGAUUAUUGACUCUAGUGCAAGUGGGAGACUGAAGGAAAUAUGCCCUGGAGGCAAUAAUAAAGUUAUUAUUUAUUUCCUUAUUUCAUGAUAAAUGUUUAUUAUUCAUGCUAGAAUUGUAUUAACCGGAACAUGAUACAUGUGUGAAUACAUAGACAAACAUAUAGUCACUAGUAUGCCUCUACUUGACUAGCUCAUUAAUCAAAGAUGGUUUUGUUUCCUAACCAUAGACAUGUGUUGUCAUUUGAUUAAUGAGGUCACAUCAUUAGGAGAAUGAUGUGAUUGAUAUGACCCAUUCCGUUAGCCUAGCACUUGAUCGUUUAGUAUGUUGCUAUUGCUUUCUUCAUGACUUAUACAUGUUCCUGUAACUAUGAGAUUAUGCAACUCCAGUUUGCCGGAGGAACACUUUGGGUGCUACCAAACGUCACAACGUAACUGGGUGAUUAUAAAGGAGUACUACAGGUGUCUCCAAAGGUACAUGUUGGGUUGGCGUAUUUCGAGAUUAGGUUUUGUCACUCUGAUUGUCGGAGAGGUAUCUCUGGGCCCUCUCUGUAAUGCACAUCACUAUAAGCCUUGCAAGCAAUGUAGCUAAUGAGUUAGUUACGGAAUGAUGCAUUAUGUAACGAGUAAAGGGACUUGCCAGUAACGAGAUUGAACUAGGUAUUGGAUACCGACGAUCGAAUCUCGGGCAAGUAACAUACCGAUGACAAAGGGAACAACGUAUGUUGUUAUCUGGUUUGACCGAUAAAGAUAUUCGUAGAAUAUGUAGGAGCCAAUAUGAGCAUCCAGGUUCCACUAUUGGUUAUUGACCGAGAAUAGUUCUAGGUCAUGUCUACAUAGUUCUCGAACCCGUAGGGUCCGCACGCUUAAGGUUUCGAUGACAGUUAUAUUAUGAGUUUAUGAGUUUUGAUGUACCGAAGGAGUUCGGAGUCCCGGAUGAGAUCGGGGACAUGACGAGGAGUCUCGAAAUGGUCGAGACGUAAAGAUCGAUAUAUUGGACGACUAUAUUCGGAGUUCGGAAAGGUUCCGAGUGAUUCGGGUAUUUUUCGGAGUACUGGAGAGUUACGGGAAUUCGCCGGGGAGUAUAUGGGCCUUAUUGGGCCAUACGGGAAUAGAGGAGAGAGGCCGAAAGGAAGGAGGCGCGCGGCCCCCCUCUGGUCCGAAUUGGACAAGGGGUGCGGCCCCCCUUUCCUUCCUCCUCUCCCCCUCUUUCCCCCUUUCUCCUACUCCAACAAGGAAGGAGGGAGUCCUACUCCCGGUGGGAGUAGGACUCCCCUUGGCGCGCCCCUCCUAGGCCGGCCGCCCCCUCCCCCCUUGCUCCUUUAUAUACGGGGGCAGGGGGCACCUCUAGGAAGAACACACAAGUUGAUCUUCGUGAUCGUUCCUUAGCCGUGUGCGGUGCCCCCCUCCACCAUAUUCCACCUCGGUCAUAUCGUCGCGGAGUUUAGGCGAAGCCCUGCGCUGGUAGAACAUCAUCAUCGUCACCACGCCGUCGUGCUGACGGAACUCAUCCCCGACACUUUGCUGGAUCGGAGUCCGGGGAUCGUCAUCAAGCUGAACGUGUGCUGAACUCGGAGGUGCCGUACGUUCGGUGCUUGGAUCGGUCGGAUCGUGAAGACGUACGACUACAUCAACCGCGUUGUCAUAACGCUUCCGCUUAUGGUCUACGAGGGUACGUGGAUAUUACUCUCCCCUCUCGUUGCUAUGCCAUCACCAUGAUCUUGCGUGUGCGUAGGAAUUGUUUUUGAAAUUACUACGUUCCCCAACAGUGGCAUCAGAACCUAGGUUUUAUGCGUUGAUGUUAUAUGCACGAGUAGAACACAAGUGAGUUGUGGGCGAUACAAGUCAUACUGCUUACCAGCAUGUCAUACUUUGGUUCAGCGGUAUUGUUGGAUGAAGCGGCCCGGACCGACAUUACGCGCACGCUUACGCGAGACUGGUUUUACCGCCGUGCUUUUACGACUACAUCAACCGCGUUGUCAUAACGCUUCCGCUUACGGUCUACGAGGGUACGUGGAUAUUACUCUCCCCUCUGGUUGCUAUGCCAUCACCAUGAUCUUGCGUGUGCGUUGGAUUUUUUUUUGAAAUUACUACGUUCCCCAACAGCUUUGCCUCCAGCAAAACGCGCCAAAAUAGAGGCGGAGAAGAAGGCCGAGGAAGAGAAGCGCACCACGGAACAAGCUGCCUGGGAGGCCUAUGUCACGUCCGAGAGAAGCAGGCAAUUGGCUCUUUGGCAGAAGGCUCGUGCGAGGGCCGUGAGGGUGGCGGAGGACGCCCGUGCCGACGCCCUGAGUGCAGUCGGGCCUAAGCGCCUCAUCUACGCUUGGCAGUACGUGGACCAGGUGCACGCUUCCAGCAAGGAGGAGUACCUGUUAGCGCCGGAUCACCACACCGGUGAGAUCGCGCUCGCCCGCCGGCAAGCCGCCAAUCAGCACCUCGCGAGUUGCGAGGCUGAGGAAGAGACGUUGUGUCAGUGCCCUGGGAAACGAUCGCGCACCAGGGCACUCGUGGCGCGCCGCAAGCGCUCCUGCGAGCGCCAUGGCUUUUAGGAGGAGUAUAAUUUUUGUUUCGUAAGGCGAUCUCAUUAGUUUUGGGAUGCAAAUGAUAAAUCCCGAACGUUCAGGAAUUUUUAGCGUCCUUAACUAAGUAUGUAAAAGGGAAAGUUUGGAAACCUUGUGUAUUCGUACGCAUUUUGCAAGUACGUGCAUAUAGCACAAACUUUACUAUAUACUAUCGGACUAAAUGCUUGCAGACUAUGCUACUCCCUCCGUCCAGGUCAAUAAGUCAUCUUUGGUUGUGCACCGUGACCAAGAAGGAGGGAAGACUUGUACACCUAGACGGAUGGAGUACUACUAUUACUUAUAUACGUGCAAAUGCACAUUUUAAUAUUACGAUGCGGAUUUUGUAAAACUAGAAAAACAACACUAGUCAAGCUUGUGAAAUGAUCAAUGCAAAACAAAAGCAAAAAUGCUCGUUUGAUUGUUUACUUUUAGCUUCCUUCUCUGUGGUUAUUUCUCUGUCAUACUUUGUACGGAGUAUCUCACUGGUUGGAAAGGCAUGCAAAUUCCCAAACCGCUUCCUACACUCUGUAUCGAAUUUUUUGCCUAACAAGUUGUGCCGUGCAAUUGGAAUUCCAACUUGAGUACUACUACUAGUAGGAGUACCAGGGGCCAGUUCUUUUAGGCUUCUAGAGUAGUAAUCCCAUAACUACUACCUCCGUCCUGGUUUCUUGGUCCCCAUUGUAAUCUGUGUCAAAUUUUGAUCAUAAAUUUAACUAAUGAAAUGUUAGUGCAUGUCACAUGCACUACUCCAUCCGUUUAGGUAGUAAGUCAUCUUAGGCUAUGCACCAUGACCAAGGAGGAGGACAAAACGAGAAAUGUUAAUGUUUAUUUGCUAAUUAAUAGUAUUGCAUGCAAUGAACUAACCACUGCAUGUCGUGUUUGAUAUAUCAAGUCAUUAAAAGCAUGCACACUCUUUAUCUCUUAUUGGUUGAUAUGUCAAGAAACAAGAAACGAGGUAGAAGUUAAUGCACCGCGCCUAAGUGUUUUGGGAUUAUUUGGUUUUCGUAAGAUGACUUACACACCUAGACGGAGGGAGUAACAUUUUAUUAGUUAAAUCUUUGGUCAAAAUUUAGCACAAAUUACAAUGGUGAGGAAUAAACCAGGACGGAGUAGUAGCUUAGAAGCCCAAAUAAAUGAGUGAGGCACCUUAUUGUUACUCUCCACUAUGACUAGUCUUGUGGGAAAAGCUGGGGAAGCCGCCAAAAGAACUGGCCCUAGGAGUAGUAGCUAGGGAUCGAGUGUGCGAGAUGAACCGGAGAAAGUAAAUGCAGAGAGAUGAAAUGCAAAAAAGACGGAGGGAUGUGAUGGUUGCUUGUCCGUUUAUUUUACCAGACCACUUAUUACUGGGAGUGGUUGGGUUUUGUGAUAUGACGGCUUUACUGCCGCACCACGAGCGGGGUGAGAGGUGAGGCUCCCGUGCAGUGCCGCCCUCUACACUUGUACUACAUCGGUCGUGGUUUAUUAGUCCCCCAUUGAAUUUGACUGAAGAUUUAACUGACAAAAUGUUAGUGCAUGUCAACAAAAACUAUAUCGUUGGAUACGUAUUUGAACAUAGUUUUGAAUGAUAUAAUUUUAGGUGACAUGCAUAAGCAUUUAUCGUACUAUAUAUAAUGUUAGUUCAAUUUUUGGUCGUACGUAGUAAGGUGCCCGUGCGUUGCACCGAAGAGUGAAAUGCAUUGAUCGGGGAGUUGUUUAUUUUGACAAAGGAUCUGGGGGUCAUCUCAUGUGUAACGGGUAUCGAUAGGUUUCUUCGGAUAUUAUUUCAUCUCUAGAGCUCACAAACAUCCGGGUGAAAUAGAUAAAAAGGUAUCUUUUGCAAACAAAAGCGUUCAACUGUUCAACCUGCAUCCAAAACUUGUGAAGAAAUAACACUUAUUGUGCUUUGCAAGAAAUGAUCUUUAAGAAUUAGUUUUUGAGUAUCGAUUGUUAUACAUGUUGGCUACAGAUGACAUGGCACUUUCUUAUAGUCAACAGUUGGCUAUACUAUUAAGUAAUAUUAACCAUGCCCUUAUACACCUAGACGGAGGGAUUAAAUCAGGAUGACUUGCAAGGGGGCAGAGGAGAUGUAAGAAAUGGUUCAUCGUAAGUCUUUCACUAGUACUGUAGUAAAAAUUCAUACAUGGAAGAUUCUAGACUAAACCAUAAACGGAAACACUUUUAUUCAUGCACGAUACUCCAAUAGAGCAAGAUCCUUCAUGGAAGUCUGCACAUGCUUAGACAGCGGAUUACAUUGAGCAUAGACUAAUGAUCAACAUUUAACUUGAUAAUGCGUAUGUCCAGGUGAACCUCCUUGGAGUCCAUGUGCACCGCGUCGGCAGGUAAAGGAUGCCAUGGGUUUUCCAAGUCCACAUUGGCGAGAUAGUCCCAUCUCCCUAGAGUCCAAGUCCAUUCGAUGAGGCCGGUGUCGCCGCCCACGUGACCCGGAGGGGUAGUAACACUGACCACACACCCGUACAUCGGCCUCGUGUCAGUGUCAGCAUCAGCGGCGUCGCCCCUGACGCACAUUACAGAGACGGGGCGACGGCCUGCGCGGGCCUCACCGGUGCCCACGAUCAAGAGGAAGACACUGUCGUCCUCCUCCGAGACUAGCAGGCGGCGGUGAUCCUCCAGCGACUCCGGCACGGUGAACGGGUAGCACGUCUCGUACUUGGUGUUCUCCGCCAAGGGCCAGCAGUUACCGCUGCACGCAUCCAUGAGGUGAUGCACCAUGUCCGCCGGCGAGCCACAAAACGGCAUCGGGCACUCAUAGCAGUGGACGAAGGGCUCCUUGGAGGCAUCGACCAGGCCAUCCAUGAAACGGGAGUGGCUGUAGGGGACAUUGCGCCAGUUGAAUAUAUGAGCAAGUUACUACGAGAUUUAAUCUGAAUAAGCACAAAAUAAAUCAUGACGGCUAUAACAGAGAUGAAACUAAUCAUGUGGACUAGCAUAGUAGUAGGAUACAAAGUCGAAACAUGAAUUCUACCACGAUUUCGAACAGGAAGGACAGAAACACAUACGAUGCAACGGGAGCAGCACCGUUGGCGUUGAGGUUGUCGCCCAUGUCAUGGAGGAAGAGGUUGCCGAGGUCGGGGAAGAAGUCGUCGUCGGUGAAGUCGUGGCUGCCAGCAGUCGCGAGAGUGUGCUCCCCAAAUUUCAACAGCGCCCGCCGAAUGUAGCGCAGGAGGGAGUGGCUAUAGGGGACGUUGCGGCCGCUGAAUGGAGCGUAGGAGUAGUACACGAAGCAGUAGAUGGUGUCCUUACUAGUACUCCCUAGUCUCUACCUAUCUCUAUCUACUCUUAUAGAAAACCGAGUUGGUGAUGAUGGUAUGCCUGCCAUCUUGUAAUAUAGACCGUCCAAUCUAUAUCUGACAGAUAGAAAGCCAACUAUGACAAUUUUACAAAAGAUACCCGCACCUGUCUCCACAUUUACAGAUAAGGCCUUGCCUCGUUCAUCCUUAUCUCCCACAACCUCGUGCUCCUCCCUAUGUCUCUAUCUCUACUACUCUUCUUUGUUUUUAUAACAAAUCGAAUAGUGCUGCGCCGUCCACUGCACGCCCAGCUGAACACGCCUCCUCGCCUCCAUCAUCACCAUCUGAGUCUUUUAUAGGAGUAGGAGUAGAGAAAAAACCGAGUUGGUGAUGAUGGUGUGCCGUGCAAUGCACGGGCAUCUUGCUAUUUUUUUGCAUAUAAGUCCAAACACCACGUAGACACGGUCUUUGAGCACGGUUCGUAGUCAUUCCACGCUCGGGCAUUGAAGUUUGUAACUAUUUUAGAUUAGAAUAUACUACUCCUCCGGUGCUAGUAGUAGAGCAGAGUCCUACUCUACUACUCUACUCAAGGAAGUUAGGGCAUAGUACUGUAGUAGGUACUGUAGGGAGUACCAGUACUGUGAUCACUCAAGCAAGUUGUCUGGCACCGACAUGACCCUAUGUUGCUGGUAUGUGUCUCGUAAGUCAAGUGGCGUGCUGUAGUCAUCAUCACCUGUCCACUUCCCGCAGCACAUAUUCGCUUCUCCAUCUUUGUCCGCACAUAAUCUCGUCCAAUCUUCCAUCCCCGCUAAGGCGCCCCCCCCCCCCUCGUCCGAAACCCAAGCACUAACNNNNNNNNNNNNNNNNNNNNNNNNNNNNNNNNNNNNNNNNNNNNNNNNNNNNNNNNNNNNNNNNNNNNNNNNNNNNNNNNNNNNNNNNNNNNNNNNNNNNNNNNNNNNNNNNNNNNNNNNNNNNNNNNNNNNNNNNNNNNNNNNNNNNNNNNNNNNNNNNNNNNNNNNNNNNNNNNNNNNNNNNNNNNNNNNNNNNNNNNNNNNNNNNNNNNNNNNNNNNNNNNNNNNNNNNNNNNNNNNNNNNNNNNNNNNNNNNNNNNNNNNNNNNNNNNNNNNNNNNNACUAACAAUGGCAGAACCGAGCAGCGUCCGCCGAAAGAGUGGCUGGAAUUUGCUCCACAUAGAGGUAAUCAAGCUCAUUGUUUCGCGUGUGGACAAUCUCAGUAUCAUGCCGCUCGCCGCAUGCUCGUUGGGGCUAUACCGUUUACUCAAAGCCCUCAGGCCGGAGCUUUUUAAGCCAGCUCCUUGCUUGCUGAUGCCGCCUGAUCUUCAGAAACGGCAUGUCACGCAGCAUAACAAUCAUAGGGUGGCGAGCAUCAACCCCCUUGACUGCGAUCCGAUUCCCGUCAGCCUCAACUACAUUAACGGUAUGUACUGGGUCGACAUGAACACGUCUUGGAUGGUGCUCGUCGAUGGUCGCGGCAGCUGGAUGCUCGUGGAGGUCUACACCCGGCGAUUGAUCUCCCUUCCUUCGAUUAACACUGCACUGCUUUGGCACCGCGCCCAGAAUACUCGGAAUCUUACAGUAGCCAACAUGAUACCAAGUUUGAUUUGCUCAAGGUUGUAAUCUGCAAAGUGCCCACAAGAUCUGCGAAUUAUAAAGACUUCAGGCUAAUUGCAUUCUUCAACCGCGGUCUCGCCUAUCUGAUAGGUCACUGCGGUAAGUGGAUAAAUCUGCACGUCCAUCGCAGGAUCAUACAUCCUCCAUGGUUCUCUGAUGCCAUUGAACACAAGGGCUUCAUUUACGCUGUAGACUCCUUCUAUGGCUAGACGUAUUGCUGGCCUACUCCAGUCAUCGCUACAAACGGCUAUUACAGCAGUAUGUUACUUUCCUGUGAUAUCAUGAUGGCUUGCUUAUAUUAUUGUCAACAUUCACUGAAAAAAUAUUCAUGCUCAUAACAUGCUGUUCUUAAGAUUGACUAAAUCAAGAGCCCUUUUUUAUUUGACUCCAACUUGAUAUGAUGUUGUAGGGCGCCUGGUGUCCCUAGCCUUCCUAAUCCCAGAACCUUUCAAAGAAAAGCGGCAUGGCAGUUGGAGCUGGUUCCUGAAUUGAUCAGACGACGGCGAAAGAUUGAUGAUCGUUCGCACGUACCGGACGUGUUGUUUCAUGGAAUACAAUCACAGUCACUGCAAGGUCUUUAAGCAGGAUCCCAGCUUCUCUGGGCCUUUAGGAAUUUUUGGAGGCUGGUAAGUAGCCUUGGUACAUGCUCUCUGUUUGUCGGACUGAAUUAUCCGAUUAACCAGGAGAUAACCGACGGAAGGAUCAUGAUGGCAGCAUGGUUUCGUUCAUCAGGCAAAACUGUGUGUACACAGCGUACCAUGCGUCUCUGCAUGCACCAUACCAUGAUAUGUGUCGCCACGCUCUACAGCCGAAAAUAGGAGAGAGGGUCGCAAGUAUCAGACUUCGACCUGCUGGCUGGAGUUUCCCCCGUCAGGCACCCAUCUGGUUCAAGCCAUCAGCCAAUCUCCAUAGCUUAAUAAAUAGUAACGUCUAACUGAGCCAGUUAGUUAGAUGCGUACACUUGUGUAGUAGGAUCUUUAUUUAGUUUGAUGCAUACACUUGUUCUUUUUUGGUAGCCCUUUUGUAAUGAUGGCUGAUGUUUGGUUUGGAAGAGAGAGCUGCGUCUUCACUCUUCUGGCCUGCUUACUGCUUCUGUUGCACCCCCAGCCCUGGUUGUUGUAGCUGCUGUUUUCAAUGUACAAUCAGUAGUAUAUUUUGUCUGUUGGUUGAAUAAAUGUGUUGUUAGAACGACAAACACAAUGUUUUGGAAGUCGUUGCACGGUUCGAUCCUUUAGUGCCCCGUACCGUACGUAGCUCAUACUAUUUUUCGUACAGAACACAUUUUCCACUUGUUGAUAACAUGCGGCCCACUGAUGAAGGCCCAAUAGAGAAGCCCAUGAUUAACUGGAAGGGAGGCUAUCACAUGAAUCCGGCCCAUGUACAUGCUCAUGGUCCCCUAAACAUAAAUAAGUAAAUAAAUAAAUAAAGCUAAAUGCUCAUGCACCAGUUCUUUGGGAAAAUAGGUAGCCCAGUAUUUCUUUUUAAAGAAUACCGAAGCUAGGCCUAUUUGUUUUCUCCGAAUUACUGGGCUGCAAAUCUUUCAAGACGAGGAGGGAUGCAUUCCGUCCUGGCCAAAGAGUAUGGUCAAUGUCUCUUAAAAGUAAUAUCAAAAGGGGUUGAAAAUUCCAAAAAAUUUAUAGCAAAUGGGAUAUUAGUUUCUUUUUUGUUUUUGUUCUUCACUGAUAUCUUAUAUGUAUUUCAUUGGAUUUAACAUGACAUAGUACUAAUUUAUUUUUAAAUUUGUUUUAGUAUGGCUAUUAAUUUUUGGAUUAAGAAUAUUUCGUUUCUUAGCAAAAAUUUUCAAAAUUUCCCACAUAUUUAGUUAAUUUUUUGACCCUAGUACUGACCAGAAAAUGGCCAGCAAUUCUAAAAAUGGAAAACGGGCUGCAAUAAAUUCCAUAUGAACUAGAAAAUGAGUAAAAAUUAUAAAAAUAAUAGCAAAUGGGCUGUACACGCCACAGAUUUCGAGCCUGACUUGUUUACGCAAGGCUUUAUCAGUGAACACACGAUUCUAGCAGCAGUGACUGUUGGAUGUCCAUCCAACGGCCGACGUGCUUCUUCAAUCUCUGAUCUUCCUGCUCCAGCCGCCUAAACUAGCGCCGGCGGGACUGCCUACUACCUCCUCUUGUGGCCCGCUGUGAUGCCGCGCAGGCUUCCCCGACCCACCCUACUCCCUCCGCUGGCCUAGCCGCACGCAAUCAACUGCCUCCUUAUUAUGCAAAAAAAAUGAUUCCUCCCACUGACAUCUGGGGCGCACCGGUUGGGAGGCUGACCUGUGGGCCUACUAAGUUGACGCGUACGCAGGGCUUGUCAACUUAGAGCAUGGUUAAUAGUAUAGCCAGCUGCUGGCUAUAAGCCUGUGCCAUGUCAUCUACAACCCAUCUUAUAGCCAACAUGUACAAUAGUAGAUUAAAAGAGUGUACUACUUUUUUAUUAUGUGGCCCACAUUUCAUUCUCACAAAGUGCCUAGGGGCACAUGCUAGAGCUGGCUCUUCACGAAGAGCCCGCUUAUCUUCUCUCUCUUCUUCUCUUUCCUCCAACUAAGCAGAAAUAUACUAGUUUAUUCCUUAUAGCCCGCUCACUCAGCUCUAUUGUACUUGCUCUUAGUCAACAAACGAUUCUAGCAGCAGUAGCCGUUGGAUUUGAAUCGAAUGGUCCUGUUGCUUCUUCAAUCACUUCUCUUCUUGCACCAGCCGCCCAAACCAGCGCCGGGGAGACCGCCUGCUCCUGCCUCUAGUGGCCGGCUGUGCUGCCGUUGAGGCCUCAUCGCCCCCUACUACUCCCACCGCUAGCUAGGCCCUGCGGCGACGGUAGCCUCACACCAUAGCCGAAUCAGUGAACCCUUGCACUCCUCUCUGCGUGGGCAUCCACUGACGUGUCUUCCCCGGCUCCGCGUCGUCCCCUUCCUAGGCCUCGCCGUCGUCCACCGCCUUGGUGCUCUCGGCGCGGUGUGGUCAAUGUGGUCAAUGACAUUUCAUCGGAAGAGUACUGUACGUGGAGAGGCUGACAGCUAGGUCUACGGCCACAACCCAGUUAUUUUGUGAUUUACCAAGUAAGUCGCUUUGUCAGGCCUGGUGGGGCUGCAAAUCUUUCAAGACGAGGAGAGCUUUCAUUCGGCUGGCCGAGAAAAUGGCCCAUCAAUAAUGAGAAAUGGGUUGUACAUUUUUAAAACACAUCAAACCGGCAAUUAGUUACAAAUAUCUUUUUUUCAUUUCAAGAUUUUAAAUUACAUUAAUUUUUAUGCGUGGAGAAUUUUUUGGAUUUUAUAUUGAUAUACAUUUAUUUUUAAAAUCAGUUUGAAUGCGAGUCGAAAUUUCGGGAUUAAAAACAGUUCGGACCGCACCGAAAUAUGCAAAACUUCGUAUAAUUUUUUAACCGUGGCCACAAUAUGGGCUGUAAUGCUAACAAAAAAAAUAUGGGCUCCAAAAAAACCUUAAGAAUUAGCAAAUGGACUGUAAAUUAUCAGAAAUAAUGGCAGAUGGGUUGUAUGUUGUUUUCCACAGAUUUGAGGCUUUCUUAAAAAACGGUUGAAGCACAAGUAAUGACUGUUGGAUGUCCAUCGAACGGCCGUCGUGCUUCUUCAAUAUCUGCUCUUCCUGCUCCAGCCGCUCAAACAAGUGCCGGCGGGACUGCCCGCUCCCUCCUCCCCACGGCCGGCUGUGCUGCUGCGCAGGCCUCACCGCCCCAGCGUACUCCCAUCGCUGGCCUAGCCAUCCCUCUACUCACCCGCAUCUGCUGUUAUUCUCCAGCGACGGCAGACGAACCAGUAAACCCUUGUACAGUCGUACUCCCCUCCGCGUGGGAAACAAUUACCGAGUCUUCCCUGCCUCCGUGUCAUUCCCUUCCUAGGCCUCACCGUCGUCCACCGCCCUGGUGCUCUCGGCGCGGCCUAGUCAACGUGGUCAACGACCGACAUGCAUCUGAAGUGGACUGUACGUGGAGAGGCCGACAGCUGGGUCCACGGCCGCACGCAAGGAAAUACCUCCUUAUUACGCGCAAAAUAAUAAUUGCUCCACCUGACAUCAGGGACCCACCGAAAGGGCCUCUGUAUUUCGCGAAAAAACGUUACCGUCGCUGACAACUCGGACCCACCAGCUAUAUCUUCGCACGCAAGGAAGUGCCUCCUUAUUACGCACAAAAAAAUGAAUACUCCCCCUGUUAGCUAGGACCCAGUAUAGUGGCAGGAUGACUUGUGGGCCUACUAAGUUGACGGGGACGGAGGGCUUUGUCAACUUAGUCAAUAUGCACGAUUCUAGCUCCAGUGACCGUACGAUGUCCAUCCAACGGCCGUAGUGCUUCUUCAACCUCUGGUCUUCUUGCUCCAGCCGCCCAAACCAACGUCGGUCGUGCCUCGUGCUCCUGCCUCCCGUGGCCGGCUGCACUAGGGCGGAGGCCUCACCGCCGCCUACUACUCCCACCGCUGGCCAGGCCAUCCCUCUACUCACCCACACCUCCUGUUAUUCUGCGGCGACGACAACCUCACACCGCAGCGAACUAGUGAACCCUCGUACUCUUCUACGCGUGGGCAUCCAUUGCCGCGUCUUCCCCGGCUUCGCGUCGUCCCCUUCCUAGGCCUCACCAUCGUCCACCGCCCUGGUGCUCUUGGCGCGGCAUGGUCAACAUGGUCAAGGAACGGCUUCCAUCAGACGUGGACUUUACGUGGAGAGGCCGACAGUUGGGUCCACGGCCGCAGCAAGGAAGUGCCUCCUUAUUACGCACAAAAUAAUUAUUCCUCCACCUGACAGCAGGGACCCACCGGACGGGCCACCGUAUUUCGCGAAAAAACAUUUCCCCCUGACAGCUGGGACCCACCAGCUACAUCUUCGCAUGCAAGGAAGUGUGUCCGAAAAAAAAACGAUUCGCCCCCCUGACUACUGGGACCUACCAGCUACACCUUAGCACGCAAGGAAGUGCCUGACAGUCGGGACCCACUUGGUCGAAGCGUACGUAGCGUUGUCAUUCUGGUCGCGAAUGUGUACAUACAUAUAUACUGGUCGAUGUAGAGGCACGCACGUGUCAUAGUAGAGGCGCGCACGUAGCAUGUAUACGUACGUACAACGGCCAGGGUGCAAGAAAGAAAAUACGGCCACGUAUGUGUACAUACGGGCGGGGUCUCAAUCGCCUACUCGCGCAUACAUACGGCCAGGGCUCGUGUACAUGGCUGGGUCGGAAUGGAGAAACAUCAUCGUCGUCAUGUUCAUCGGGAGCCAACCGGCUGGGUCGGAACGGAAUGCGCCGUCGUGUUCCUCGGGAGGGCUUGGACGGAACAGGCAAUGGAAACGAGGCCUGGCGUACCGCAGAACGGAGGAAACGGCCUUGUGUUCGACCGAACACGUUCGAAACGGGAUCCUGUUCAUCGGGAGGGGUAUGGCGUACCGCAAAACGGAGGAAACUGACCUCCUACGGUCGAAACGGGGGUCCUGUUGAUCGGGAGGGGUGUGGCGUACCACAAAACGGAGGAAACGGACCUCCUACGGUCGAAACGGGGGUCCUGUUGAUCGCGAGGGGUGUGGCAUACCGCAAAACGGACGAAACAGACUUGUGUUGGAGCACUACGGUCUAAACGGGGGUCCUGUUCAUCGGGAGGGGUGUGGCAUACCACAAAACGGGACUCCACGGGAUACUGUUCAUCUCCAUCGUCGACCUCCUCCAGCCUCCACGGGCUCCUGUUCAUCCAGCCUCCACCGUGCGCUACUCCACCGGCUACUGUUCAAUCACCCCUCCACGGGCACCCCUCCACCGUCUACUGUUCAUCUAGCCCUCCACACCACGGGGUCCUAUUCAACCACCCCUCCACGGGCACCCCUCCACCAUCUACUGUUUAUCCAGCCCUCCACACCACAGGGUCAUGUUCAUCCAGAGGCAAACGCCAUUGCUCACUGUUCAUCCACCCCCCCAACGCUCACUGUUCAUCCAAUCGAUCGGCUUCAGUUACCAGCAGUAGCGAAGGAAUCGCUCGAUCGGGUUCAGUUAACAGCCAUCGAUCGAUUGCUCGGGUUCAGUAACGCGUAGCCUGCAGUGCAAUCGCUCGGGUUUAGUUAGAGCCCAACGCCUUGCUCGGGUUUAGUUAGAGACAACGCCUCACACACACGUGCAUACGUGUAUGAGAUAAACGCGCAUCGCUCGGCCCCCGACCUCCCACCGUAACCGGGAACUCCCCGAAAUUUUCCUCGCCCUCACUUCUACCACGUUUUUUCCGUCAUGGACGGCCCAAAGAAUGUCAUGCAACUGCGUCUCCGGCCCGCCCAGGACGAAAAGCCCAUUUUCUAUCAUGAUUUUUUGUCAUAGAAGUAGGAGCCCACCACAUCUAUGAUGAUACCGGGUUUUGUCACAAUUAUCGUCAUAGAAGUGUCAUAUGUAUGACAGAAAAAAAAUUCGUUCGACCCAAAAUGUCACGGAUGUGUCUUUUUUUGUAGUGAGGAUUGGUCCAUACACAUGCAAUUCAGGGGUCAUAGCACCAGAAAUUUCCACUUCAAAGGAAUCAAAACAUCCACACUGCAUAGCCAUAAAUGUAUUUCUACUCUAUGAAAAAAUCCUAAAUAAUCGGUUGGAAACGUCGCAAACCCCGGGUCGCCGCAUCUUCAUUCGAAGGAUGCUCACCUGAAGUAGGUGCUGCGGGAGAUGAUGAGGCGGUGCAGAAGGUAGGUGUCUCCCAUGGCCUCGACGACGACAUCGGAGAAGGCGCCAGAGCCGAAUCCCUCUGCCUGGACAUGUUCAUAGAGUGCCACCAGGUUGCAGUCCACGGGGCGGAGCUCCGCCCCCGAGACCGCGAGCUCGUACAGUUGCGGCGCCCCUGCCGGUGCGGGCAAGGCCGCCGCCCCCUCCAGCGGCACGGGCGGCAACGUGUUUGGAUGCUCGCCGCGACAUGGAGGUCAAGGGGCUAGGGUUUUAGUUGGUGGCAAGUCUGUGCGAUGGCCGAUGAGGACGGGAAUGGGAUCAAUCGGGAAGAGGAAGAAAUCCUGCUUCAGGGGGUUCAUAGUUUACUGUCUUUUAUGUUUUUUUCUUACGUUACAGCCGGAAGGUGGAAACGAAAGGCAUGACGUUGGGACAGAUAGUUGGGCUUCCUUUUUCUAUUUGCCUAUUGAGACCAUUGGGCUUCGGUAUGUAUUUAAGUCCGCACAUAAAAUGUCGAUAAAAAUAGUUUAAAAGGAAAAUAAUUGUUUAUGUGGUAGUUUGCUGAGGUGGAUAGGCUGUAUGUCAAGACAAAUAUGAUAGUGGGGAUGAACUAUUUAGGUAUUAUAGAUAAGCACAUGACAACCUCUCCUUCCCUCUGCGAAGGGCCUAUCUUUUACUUUUAUGUUUUAUGCAUUUACUUUUAUGAAGUGUCAAAGUUUUCUUUCCUAUUCCUUUUUUUAUUUUCUCCUUUUGCAAGCACCAUGUGGUGAGGAAAGAUCUAGGCACAUAUAUUCAGUUGGAUAUGAGUGGGCAUGAGUUAUUAUUAUUGACAUCGCCCUUGAGGUGAAUACAUUGAGGGAAAACUAUAAGCCCUGAUCUUUCUAUGUGUAUGAUUGAAACUUUUUGUUCAUGGGUAUGGUGUGAGUGUCAGCAAUCAUAGAAGAUUAAAUGAUGGUUGAGUAUGUGGACUUGCCUAAAGGCUCCGAUACGCGACCCUUCGUGAAAAUAUGAUGAAUUGUAGCUGCAAAGUUGACUGAGAACAUAAUUUUUUUAGGGGAAGACUGAGAAUAUAGUUUGUUGGUUUUCAAUAAGGUUUAUGCUUUUAUACUUCAAUGUUGUGAUGAAUUGUUACUUGCUCAUGAGAAGUUAUAUGAUAAAUUUGUUAUGUUAAAGUUUUUUGCUGUUAUAAUAAUAUGCAUGAUGCUUCUAUGUCCGGAUUUUGUUUUUAGCGACACCUCUCUCUCUAAGCAUGUGGACAUGUUUUUCGAUUUCGGUUUUUCGCUUGAGGACAAGCCAGGUCUAAGCUUGGGGAGUUGAUACGUCCAUUUUGCAUCAUGUUUUUCUACUGUUAUUUAUAAUGUUUUUAUGCAUAAUAAUGCUUUUGGGAGUAACUCUAAUGCCUUUUCUCUCAUAAUAUGAAGGUCUACAGAAAGAGGGAGAAUACCGGCAGCUGGAAUUCUGGACCUAAAAAAGCACGUCAGAGCUACCUAUUCUAUACAACUCCAAAUAGGCUGAAACUUCAGGGAGAUUUUUUAUGGAUUAUUUAAGAAUUAUUGGAGCAAAUAACUACCAGAGGGGGCCCACCAGGUGGGCACAUCUCACCUGGGUGCACCAGGGAGCCCAGGCGCGCCCUGGUGGCUUGUGCCCUCCUCGGCGCACCUCUGAUGCCCCUCUUCUGGUAUAUAAGUCAUUUUGACCUAGAAAAAAAUCAGGAGAGGACUUUUGGGAUCCAAAAAACCAUGCAACCAUGCGUCCCUUGCAGGCCCACAUGCCGUGGGGUCCGAGCAUAGCCGUGAGGGACUUUCCUUGACAGAAUAUAUAACAUCCUACUAUGGAGCCCGCAAAGGGGUCCCCUCGCUCUCCAUUAUCUUCUUCCCUAGAGGUGAGACAUAAUUCUCUACCCCAUCGCUGCCUCGCACAUGUAUUCUUUCUCAUAUGGUUGAGGCCAUCUGCCCAGCAUCGACCCCCUCUCUCGAGGAUGUCGGUGACCUCCCCUAUCCUUCUCACUCGAUUGCACUCCCUCGAAUGACCUCCCCCAUAUUCUCUCUGUCCCCCAUCUCCCAACGAGGUAGCACGCCGCGAGGCGUUAAUGCAAGCAGACGUGCUAGUGGCUGUGGGCUAUGGCAAGGAAGGCGACACUGCUCCUUUUUCACGCUCAGGCCGGUACUCGAUGUUACAAAGGGUGAGAUACUUGGCUGGGACCGGCAGUGAUUUUUCCUGUAACAAGUGAUUGAUUUUGCUAGGGAUCUGCAACGGUAGUGGUUUUGGUUGUGAUUGGCAACGGAUUUUGCUGUGACUGACGACAAUUUUUGCUCGAACAACGAUGAUUUUGAUGCAACCAGUGGUGCGCCCUAAGCCACGACACAAUAGGGGAUGUUGUAACCUUGCUACAACGAAUUACAGUUGUCCCUGAUGGGUGUGGGUGGCGCUCGAGGCGUGCUCUCUCCUUGCGCAGGGUGUGAUUUUGGGGGCAAAUAAAAAGCAAUGUGAGGGGAAAAUUUGACGGUUGAGAAACGAUGCAAUUGACGCACGGGAUGCGUCCAUCCGAGGGGAUGGCGUCGGUCGACCGAAGCCUAGCACCACCCUUUCUAAUGAGGGGGUACGAGGGAUUUUCGCUCUUCCUUUUAGUUCAAAUGAUUGAAGGGUAGCAUCAACAUUUAAGUCCAACUCUACAAACAAACAAAGACCACAUAACCCCCCGGGGUUUCACGAACCGGCCAAUUUACCCCCCGAAGUCUAAAACCGGGUAAAUAACCCCUUGAUCUUUUCCAAACCAUGUUAAUCACCCCCUAACCCUGGUUAGAGUGGUUUUGUAGGUGGUUUUGAUGACGUGGUGAGGCGCUCCUCAUUCGCGACAUGCACCUGGCUUGGACCAUACUACUCCGAGCACGAACCAGUCUCGUACCAGUCACGGCACAGGACAUCAACAUGUAGCUCGCCGAGUCCCACACUUCUAACUUUGUGAUCUUCUUGGCAGUGAGCCUUCCCAGCUCCAGGUCGUGCAGCCCACACGAAGCCAACGUCGAAAGGCAUCCCCUCGACCAGGCAGGCCAACGUCGUUGAACCUGCUCUCCGGCCUAGUGCAUGCGCCCAAGGUUUGCCGGAUCCUUAUGGCCAUCUGCGCCAUAGCGCUCCUGCUGCGUCCCGCGUGACCAGUGGCUGGUACAGUCGUACUCAUGCUCUCCGAAGCGGACAGUGGAGGUCGUCUACGAUGGUGACGAGCAAGACAUGAGCACUGGAAGCGACGAGGAACUGGCGAGCCGCGUGCACUUGAGGAGGUAGGCACGAGGUCCCGAUGGCACGUGAACUCGAGCUCCGCUGGAGAAAAUAAACACGUACAUAUAUACUGCUGUUGAAUUGAUUCUCUCCUGGAGCACACACGUACACACAAGAAGCUCGUGCCACCAUGUACAAGUUGGAUAUGACUAUUCUAAUCGUGAUUAGCUCUAAUGAUGGACGUCGUCAGCUGCCGGUGGCAGCCCCAGCCGCAGGUGGCAUGGGCGCGAGCUCGAUAUGUGGUGCAGGUGCGAGCUAUUGUCAACUUGAGGACGACGCGAACGCGGCCGGCGAGGGCUGCCGAGGCGACUAAGGCAACGACGAUACAGUCGCGUGUGCUUGCUUUUGGAGCUGGUGCGCCGCUAGGAGCCGGGAGCCUUGCCAAUUUGCCAUCUGAUUGACGCACCAAUUUUUUUACAGAGGACGGAGCUCCAGAAGCCAUCCCGCCGGGGUUCAAGGAGAGUACGAAGGCGAGGGGUCACGCAGAGUGGGCGCAACAGUAGUAGUACAUCAUGCGACACAAGGUACUUCAUGUACCAUGCUGGGCUUAGCUCCCUCGUGGCCGGCUGCUCGUUGGUGCUACCACGAGGUCGACGAGUGGUUUGGGCGCGACGCGCGAUGGCAGAAGGAUCGGAGGAGGACAGGAACCGUGCCGACCUGGCACCUGCAAUCUGCCCAGUCACCAAAACCGCUUGAAAAAACAGUCUAGUAGGUGUGAGGGGGUGAUUCACCUGGUUUGGGAAAGAUCGGGGGGUUAUUUACCCGGUUUUAGACUUCGGGGGGUAAAUUGUCCGUUUCAUGAAACCUCAGGGGGUUAUGUGGACUUCUUUCCAUUCCCUCAACAACAAAAAAAGACCCAUUGUACAACCAUCUCAAAAGGGAAAGAAAGGGUGCGGCUUCUUCGCCACCGCCGAUGGCGCAGUCGCUGGUGAUGACCGCGAUAUCCCGCCUCCGCGGUGCCGCCACCCACUCCUGCGGCGGGCACUGGCGCCGCCUCUUCUCCCGCUCCCCCGCCGCCUGCGCUCCUCUCCUCGGCCACUUUCACCACCCCACUCCGACGCCGCCCAGUCCCAAAACCCCAGCUCCGUUCCCCACCGUGCCCCCUUCCGCCUCCGCCUCCGCCUCGGCCCCCGCGUUCCAACCCCUCACCUCCUCCUCCCCGCGCCUCUCCCUGGACUUCAUCCCUCCCGGCUUCUCCCUAUUCGACUCCCACCUCGGCCUCCUCGUCCUCCUCAAGGAGACAGAGCCAUACUCCUACCUCAAGCACCCCCAGAUCCUCGUCUGCGACCCGGUCUCCCGCCGCACCGCGCUUCUCCCUCCGGGGAUGGUCACCUGCACGUUUAGCAAGCUCGUAAGCGUCGUGAUCCUCUCCCGCGACGCGGACGACCCGGCCGGGUCCGGGCUCUGCUUCCGGGCAGCCGUCGUCACCCUCGAGGACACCACGCUGCGUGCCUUCGUGGCGAUGUUCCGCGACGGCCUGUGCCAUUGGGAGUGUCUGCUUCGGUCACAGGCGAGAUGCAACGUCGACCAGCUGGAGCGCCACUGCGUGCGCGCUAGCCGGUUCCUCAUCUGGCACAUCCGCGACGAAGGUGCCGUGCUCACAUUUGACCCUGAGACACUGGAGUUCGGCUUUGUGCUCGCGCCGGCCGCACUCGACAUGGGGGAUCACUUUCUCAAGUACCGCGUCGGGGUGAUGCCGGACGGGGAGUAUUUAACAAAAAAAAACUACCACAUUUCAUGGAACCGUGCCUACAAACUACCACUUUACAAUUUUGUGCCGAAAACUACCACUUUUUCACUAAUCUUUGACUAAAAACUACCAUGUCGAAAAAUGGUCAAGUCACCUCUUCUAAACGCCUUUCUAAUAGGAUGGGCCCACCUGUCAGCAUCAAUCUUCUUCCCCCUCCUCCUUCCUCUCUCUCUGGCAUUUCGUCAAACACCUCAUGUGCACUCCGUGCUCUUCUCAAUGACGACGCCCCGGUGAAGCACGCGACGGCGGCCAGCAGAUGGAAGCCCAGCGUCCUGGACGACGAGGUCGCUGAGCCUCACCACCUGGCUGCUCCCGGUCACCAGAGCCUUCCUCUCCUCCAUCUCCUCCUCCGGUGCCAGCGCGCGCACACAGGCAGCCGCAGCCGGCGCCGGCUCCCACGCACGCGGCAAAGCAGUCCAGCACCCUGCCCCCAUGCGCCAUAGCCGCAGCCUCGCCUCUGGCCUUUCUCAGACUCGCCGCAGCCUCGCCAUUAAGUUGGCCUCUCUCCUUUUCACGGAUUAAUGGCAGGAGCUAGUCAUGGCUGUCGCCUUGCCCGGGCUCGAGCUCAGCCAUGGUCGCGCCUGGCCGCGCUUGCUGCUCCUGCUACUCCUUGCGGCCUGCGCCGGCUGCUCCCUGCUACUCCUUGUCACCUGCGCCCGGGCUCGAGCUCAACCAUGGUCGCGCACGGACGCGCUUGCUCCUCCUGCUACUCCUUGCCGGCCGCUCCCUGCUGCUCCUUGUCUCUCGCGCCUGCUGCUAUUCCUUGACGACCGCCGUUGCUGCUGCUCCUUGCCUUGCCGGACGGCGCUGAGGGGUGCACCGCCGUCGUGCUCCGGGGUGCAUCGCCGCGCUCUGGCCAGAGGAGCGCUGCCGCGUGCAAUGGAGGGGCGCACCGCCGCCCUGCUGGAGGUCGUGCUCAGGACAGAGGGGGAGAAGGAUGAGGAGGGUUGGCCGGGGGUUGGAUGGGCCAGCCGCCGAGCUGCGCGUGCUCUCGCUCGCCGGCGAGCUCCCAGCCGUGGAGCACGAAAACAAGGUGUUUGUUGAAAUGUCUAAGAAAGAUAUGGGAGGAGCAAGAAGAUAGACACUGACGUGUGGGACCAACUAGUCAGAAACGCGUUUAAAAGAGCCGAAUCGGGCUCUUUUCAGACUUGGUAGUUUUUAGUCAAGGAUUAAUAAAAAAAUGGUAGUUUUCGGCACAAAUUUGUAAAGUGGUAGUUUGUAGGCACGGUUCCAUGAAUUGUGAUAGUUUUUUAUUAAAUACUCCCGGACGGGCGGUUCUGCUUCGGUUCGAUGUCAAUGGAUCACGAGAACCUGGAGCUCCGGGUGCUGGGGCCCGGGCCGAAGGACGGCCAGAACGUGUGGGUACUGGAGAGGGAAGUGUGCUUGCUCCAGGCGUUCGACGAAAUGCCGCAGCUGCCCUCGAGCUUCAUCGCCCGGCGCAAGUGCACCUGGCUGAGCGACAUGGACGCCGGGCGCACCGGGAGGGUGUUCAUCGGCACGUCGGGCUAUGGGCACUACUCGUACCAUCUGGACACCCGGAAGCUCGAGCGCCUAGUGACGGACGACGGCGAGGAGUACGGGCACCCCAUGUUUGCCUACUUCUCCUUCCCGGGCUUGGAUGACGGCUCUGACUGACCGACUCCUGGUAAUUAAUCUUGUCCUCGCAUCCCAGUUACAUGUAAUGUCGGUUUAUGAGUAAUGCUUAGUCAGAAGAUAUCUGUUUGUAGUUUUGUUGCCUUGUGUACUUUGUUGAAACUAUAUUAGUUUUACUAUUUGUCAACCCAGUUCAUCAAUAGUUCAUAAUUAGGGGAAUAUAUGCAUUCAAAGAAUUUCAAACUCUAGCGUGUGUUCUGAUAUUUUUCUGUAAAAAAAGCGUGUUAUCUGAUCUUUUUCGUUAAAAAAAGUGUGUUCUCUGAUGGCCGUGUUGUGUUUAUUGAAGCUUGGAUGCCUACUCGCAUUAUAUCCUCUUGGUCUGUAGAAGUAACAUUAGACUCAUGAACUCCGGUGAAUAUAUGGUCUUUUUUUGUCACAAGUCAUUUUCGUAAACAAAUUGGCUUGUUAUUCGCUUAGAGAACCCCUAUUUCACUGGGAACUGUGCUGAUAACUCUGCAUUUCUUAUCAUUCAGGGUGAAGUGAGAGGAGGUACCGUGCGAUUUGCCUGAAGAUGGCUCAACCGUUGCAUAUCUGGUUACUUCCGUGCCUUAUUGCUCAGCAUUGAAGAUUGAACACAAAGUGGAUAAUGCUCCGAAUCUCUGAUUUCAUGUCCUUGAUGGGACUAUUUAAACAAUGUUGUUGCGAUGUUUGCUAAGCAUGCUUCGGAGUAGACGGUGUCCUGAAGAAUCAGGUGAUGUUUUGAAGUAGUGUGCUGUUUCGUAAGGAUAGUCUCACAUUAUGCUGAGUUUUGGCAAACCAUAAGAAAUGCAGAGUUUAUCACUUCAUUGGCCACCAUCUCUAAUUUGUGGGCUACAUACAAGCCUACAAUCCAAAAUAGUCUAUCAGAACAACCUAUAAACAUUCUUGUAUUGCACAAUUCCAAGAAAUCAGUCUGUUUCGGAUGGUUAAGCUUAAAACCUGGUCAUUUGCACAAUAUGCCGGUUGCUUGUCAAACUGUUUUACUUCUUGGAACAUGCACAGUCUAAUGGCUGAAAUCCUUGCAGCUAAGGACAGUAGUGUCCAAGCCUGUAAGGAUAGUUUGCCUCCCGUUCAAAGAAGAGAAGAACAACACAAGUGAUCAACAGACGAAAUUUAGUGCAUAUUCUUUCUACCUGUAUAUAGACCUGCAAACCCAAACUCGGCAUGUAUGUAUGCAUCCAGUUCUUUCUCCGAAACAGAGGAGAUAGACAAAAAAGAAAAGUUUUGAUUGAUUCAUUCUGACCUCACCUAUCCCUACUCAUCAUCAUCAUAUUUCUACGUACCGCAUCGGCCCUGUGCUACCCACAAGGCCACAAACUCAACUAGAUUACAGGCAGACCAGACCAAACCCCACAACAAGGAAAAAAAGAAACACCAGCACCAACGAAAGUCACCAAACAGAAUACACAGGGAGGGAGGGCACGCUGCCCGUGCGUUUUCCGAACUUUUUUGCCUCGGAAGAAGAAGAAAAACUGCUCCACGAACCAACCGGGGAUGUACGACGGCCU